rnacentral:lncRNA from 1 species
UGGUUUCUGUCAAUGCUGAUGGUUACCCUUACUAUUCUCCUCCUCCUCCUUACGAGUACAAAUCACCACCUCCUCCACCUUAUGAGCACAAGUCUCCUCCUUAUGAGUACAAGUCUCCACCUCCCCCAUCUCCAUCUCCUCCUCCUCCUUACGUCUACAAGUCUCCACCUCCACCACCAUAUGAGCACAAGUCUCCUCCAUAUGUGUACAAAUCACCACCUCCUCCAUCUCCUUCACCACCACCUCCUUACGUCUACAAGUCUCCACCUCCUCCUCCUUAUGUCUACAAGUCUCCACCUCCUCCUCCUUACGUCUACAAGUCUCCACCACCACCUCCUUAUGUCUACAAAUCUCCCCCUCCACCACCAUAUGAGCACAAGGCUCCACCAUAUUAUUACAAGUCACCACCACCUCCUUCCCCAUCUCCUCCACCUCCUUAUUACUAUAAAUCUCCUCCACCACCCUCUCCCUCACCUCCUCCUCCCUACUACUACAAGUCUCCACCACCUCCUUCACCAUCUCCUCCUCCACCCUACUACUACAAGUCCCCACCACCUCCUUCACCAUCUCCUCCUCCACCCUACUACUACAAGUCCCCACCACCACCCUCCCCAACUCCCUACUACUACAAGUCCCCACCACCACCAUCUCCAACUCCCUACUACUACAAGUCUCCACCACCACCAUCUCCAACUCCUUACUAUCCAUCCCCCACUCCUUACUACUACAAGUCUCCACCACCACCAUCCCCAACUCCCUACUACUACAAGUCUCCUCCUCCUCCUUCACCUACUCCUUACUACUACACUUCUCCACCACCACCCAAAUAUCCACCUCCCUACUAUUAUAACUCCCCUCCUCCACCUGUUGUGUAUCCCCCACACCCCUACCACCCCCACCCCUUGAUUGUCAAGGUAGUGGGUAAAGUCUACAGCUACAAGUGCUAUGACUGGGAGUAUCCCGAGAAGUCUCACAACAAGAAACACCUCAAAGGUACACACCUUAUUUUUCUCAUUUACAAUGCCUUCCAAUUAAUGUUCUCUGUGUUACCAUCAAACUGUUACUUUCCUGCUUCUUUGAUGUUCAUUAGCAGCCGCUUUUUGGAGUUAGGAGACUCCUAUGUUUCCAUAAUGGAAAUGUCUUUGUUUUUAAAAUUCAGUCACUUUCACAACCACCUUUUCUUAUCUGUCUGUUUUUCUUAUAAUUAACCUUUUGAGGUUAAUUAACGUGUUAAUAAGGUUUGAGGGAAAAAAACUGAACAGAUUCAGAGCGUCUAGAGUAAUGCACAAGUGAACAUUUUAUAAUGUGGUUAAUAGGCAUUUUAUAAUUUUAAUGAUAUAUUUAUCUGCAUUGAUCUGUGCAAGUAUCUUUAUAUAAAUUAAACAAAGAUACUAAAUAAAUGUCUUAGAUUAUGUGUGAUUAUCUCCAAAAGGAGAUUCAUAAAAAGGAAAAGAAAAACAGAAAUAUAAUUUAGAAGAAUCGGCUAAUGCCUGUAAUACAUUAAGAAAUAAUCAACUAGACACUUUAUAUAUGAACCUUUAAAUGAUUCUUAAUAUAUAAUAUAAUAUGGUAUCUGACAAAACUUUCACUUUAAUGAUAACUUGGUGUGUGGUAUGAUCUAUGAAUUGGAAUUAAGCAUUUUGGGGUGAAUGCAGGUGCUACUGUUGAGGUUAAAUGCAAAGCAGGAAGAAACAUCAUUAAGGCUUAUGGUGAAACUAAGAGCAAUGGAAAAUACAGCAUCACAGUUAAGGACUUUAACUAUGUGAAAUAUGGAUCCGUAGUGUGCAAGGCCAAGCUUUAUGCCCCACCUAAGGACUCUCCAUUCAACAUACCUACAAAGUUGAACGAGGGAACAGAGUUGAAGGUCAAAUCCAAAGACAAAUAUGAAGUUGUGUUGAAGGCUAAGCCAUUUGCUUAUGCUUCAAAGAAGCAUUUCAAAGAAUGUGAAAAGCCUAAGCCUUCACCAACUCCAUACUAUUACAAGUCACCUCCUCCUCCAUCUCCAGUUUACAUAUACAAGUCACCACCUCCUCCAUCACCUACUUAUGUUUACAAGUCACCACCACCACCAGUGAAGUCACCUCCCUAUUACUAUCAAUCUCCACCUCCACCAUCACCAAAACCUCAGCCUCCUUAUUAUUAUCACUCUCCACCUCCUCCAACACCAGUUGUUAAGCCACCAUACUACUACCAAUCUCCACCUCCUCCAUCUCCAAAACCUAAGCCUCCAUACUACUACCAAUCUCCUCCUCCUCCAUCACCAAAACCUAAACCUCCUUACUACUACCAAUCUCCACCUCCUCCAUCACCAAAACCUCAGCCUCCAUACUACUAUCAAUCUCCACCUCCUCCAACACCAGUUGUGAAGCCACCAUACUACUACCAAUCUCCACCUCCUCCAUCACCAAAACCUCAGCCUCCUUACUAUUACCAAUCUCCACCUCCUCCAACACCAGUUGUUAAGCCACCAUACUACUAUAAAUCUCCACCUCCCCCAUCACCCUCUCCUCCACCACCAUACUACUACAAAUCUCCACCACCACCAUCCCCAUCACCGCCACCUCCAUACUACUAUAAAUCUCCACCUCCACCAUCACCGGUUGUUAAGCCACCAUACUACUAUAAAUCCCCACCUCCCCCAUCACCCUCUCCUCCCCCUCCAUACUACUAUAAAUCUCCACCUCCAUACUACUACCACUCUCCACCUCCACCAUCACCAGUUGUUAAGCCACCAUACUACUACAAAUCUCCACCUCCACCAUCACCCUCACCUCCCCCUCCAUACUACUAUAAAUCUCCACCCCCACCUUCACCAUCCCCUCCUCCUCCAUACUAUUAUAAAUCACCACCACCACCAUCCCCAUCACCGCCACCUCCAUACUAUUACAAAUCCCCUCCACCUCCAUCCCCAUCUCCACCGCCUCCUUAUUACUAUCACAGUCCUCCUCCACCAUCUCCCACUCCUCAUCCUCCCUACUACUACAAAUCCCCUCCACCACCAACGUCCUAUCCUCCACCUCCUUACCACUAUGUGAGCCCUCCACCACCUUCUCCAUCUCCACCUCCACCAUACUAUUACAAAUCACCACCUCCUCCCUCCCCAGCCCCCGCUCCAAAGUACAUUUACAAAUCACCUCCACCUCCAGCUUACAUCUAUUCUUCCCCACCUCCACCCAUCUACAAGUAAGCUCGGAUUGUGGAAGCACCAUUCACCACAAAUCAUGUAAGUUCAGGAUUCCAACAUUGAUCAUAAGUAAAAUUAGUUAAUUAUACGUGUAUGAAUUUUAGUAAUGGAAAUUCCCACUGAAUUAUUUUUUCAGGUUCUAGUUUUCAUGGAGGAAUAAAGGCAAGCUCCAUUUGGAGUGAAGUGAAAUAUCUAUCUUCCUGUCCAAGUUCUUUGAAUAAUAAAAGUCUGAAUGUGUCAUCUCUGGGCUACAAUGUUUGUGAUUCAGACCCGGUUGGUUCAAUUUGUUUGAUGGCCAUCUUGCACGUCCUGAUCUUAUUGUGUUCAAGUGACGGACAAAUGAAAAAGAGGAAGAGAGAUUUAAAGUGUAAAUGCCAAGUGAAAGUGAAAAAGUACAGUCCACUCUUAGAGAUCUCUUAAAUUUAUUUGUUUAUAGGCCGUCUAUGAUUGCUUUUCUAUUUAUUGUGGAAUUUUUGUAUUGUACCAGUUGUUGUGUUUGCAAUAAGUAAUAGUAAUAAACCACCAAAUUCAGGUUUCCUAACUUUCCUUUAAAAUGAAUGAAUAAAUAAGAAGUAUAAAAAGUAUGAUACCACAACCCUUAUAUAACAAAACUACCUUAAGCUUAUUCUCUUUACCUUAAUCCUUACCUUAAACCUUAAACUCUGUUUCAAGACAACAAUUUGAAUACGAAAAACAUAUGUCACGCGUUGUAGACAUUAUUCAUUACCAAGUUUUCAACUGGGUCAGAGUAAAAAUUUCACAUCCUACACUUCUGAAAAUCCUCUUGUUAUUAUUCUUAUGUUACCACAAUUUUGGUUUCCUAAUAACCAUUUGCAUUUAUACCAUUCUCGAGAUAUCAAAUAGUACAUCAGAAAGAGUCUCUGCCUGAUGCCUAUCAAACUCAAUAUCUGCCCACUAUGAUGAUUCUUUAGAAGGCACCAGCUAAAGUUUCUGCAUGUUUGAACUUUGCUCAUAAACAGAUAAGAUAAACAAACAAUUGACAUAAAUUAUUUGGACUCAACACCAAAUCACGUUUCCUUCUUGGAAUCUUUGCUCAUUUCUUUUGUAGUACGUACCAAUUAUUAAUUAUUAAUUUAACUAUAAGUCUUCUUCUUCUUCUAGCCAUAUCCAAGCAGGUCCCAUUAUCUAAUUAAAUAGCCCCCAAUAAUCUGAUCAAAUCCACAUAACUGAUUCGUGGACCCUUUCUUCCUUCUAAUUCAUGCAAUUUCCCUAAAGUUACAAAAACUAAUUUCACACUGCUACUAACAACCACAGCAUCAGCAUCUUAAUUAUUUCAUUUACCAUGUCACAAAAUUUGAAGUUGUGAUGAUGACAAGUUCUAAGAUUAUUUAAAUAUGAAUCAGUAGUUUGAAUUUAUAUAAGCUAUCACUAACGCAUGAUUUAGUUAUGAUUUGAAUUAGUCAUUGACAGAUACUGAUAAUUUUUAACAGUAUUAAUUAUCAUCCUGAGUUGUAUUAAGCUCAAAUGUGUACCUAACAAAGGCAACUAAAAAUUAAAGAAAGGAAUUCACAAGCACUAAUUAUUGCUGUGUUUACAAGAAAACAAAAAAAGUGGUCUUCCAACUAAUAUAAGAGAAAGUGGCAACUUGCUAUAUAAAGGGAAACAUAAAGAUAGAAAAGGGUUGAAAUGCUAAUUUGUUAUGGGUGCUGUCAUGCAUCAAUUCUGAUUAAUCUAAAUUUUUGAAGUUAUAUAAAACUACAAAGAGAACGAUGGCGCACCGAACAAUCAUUAUAAAGAAGAGGUCUACCCACUAUUUGAGGAACUGCUCAUCAUCACUUAAUGUAAAGAAUAACUUUUUAAUAUUUUAUAACUUUUCAAACUACUAAUUAAAUAAAUGAGCAUAAAAUAAUUUGUAUGCUUGAACCAAUAAUGUUUUCUGAAAAAAAAAACACUAUUGUGAUGCUGAUGUUUAAUAAACAACUGUAUUAAGAAAUGGGUUUUUCAAUUAUCAUUUUAAGAAUUAUUUGGUUGUUUUCAAGAGGGGUUUCUAGGAAGGAAAGGAUGGGGUUGGGAAAGGAUUAAUUAAGUAACCUUUUGCUUUGGGGGUGUUUUUUUUUAUCAUCAACAAUAAUGAAUAAAUAAAUAUUGAUCACUUUAGGGGUGAUCCAACUCUUAUACAACAUACUAAAACAGUCGGCCAACAUAAUACUAUCUAAACUACUCAAAAGUCAUCUAAACUACUCUAAAACAAGAAGCUCCAGAACGAGAAACAAACCAUAAGUUCAAGACACCAAUCUGAAUAAGAAAAACAAGCAGAUGAAAUUUUAAAGGAAAUCCAAGAUCAAACUUUCAAUUGAGUUAGAGAAAACGUCUCUGAAUGAUGCGUCACUCCACCUUUAAAGAUGACAUUGUUCCUAAGACAGAAAAUCUCACUAACCAUCACAAUUCAAACAUUUUUCAAAAUCAAAUUAACAGAAUUAGGUGCAUUACACAGGUUGCUGGCAAGAAACUUGUAUUUCCAAACAAAGGGAGUGACAAAAUUUGUACUCUGUUGGUAGAAGAAUGAAGUACUAUAUUCUUGCAGCUGUACAUUUAUCUAAUAGAUGCAUGCACUGUUUUCCCAAGGUUGUUUCCAUUUUCUGUCUGUAUCACAUAUAUUAAGCAAAAUGUUCAUUCUGCUGGAUGCAGUAUUAUGCUGCAGAGAUUCUGCUUUUGGCUUAUUUUGUCUUAUGAGCUUUGAUUCUCUAAACCUUUUUGUAAAGAGUUGGAGAGCAUACCUUAAAUGCUUCAAUUCUAUUUAUUUCAUUCUUUCCCAAUAAAAGAAAAGGAAUUGUUCAUGUGAGAAAUAUUGGAAUCCUAUUAAGGUAUUUUUAUAACCAAUGUGAAGAAAUUUGGUCUGUAGUUAAUUUCAGUUAAGGUUUAUUGUCAUGGCUGAUUUUGAUUUUUACUCUUUGUAAACAACUGAAAUAAUUUACAACUAGCAUUAUGGAUAAUAAUCUUACAUUAGCAUAGGAUCCUAUUGUCAUUUUCACUUCUUCACACUACUAUUGCAGCAAAAUGGCAUAAUGUUGCAGUAGUUUGCACCAUCUUAGUCUCUUAAAGAUCCUUUUUUCUGUGCUCAUGUGAUGUAUGACAGAAGAUAUGCUGCCACUGAAAAAGAGGUUCUGCUUCUUCAUAUUUCACAAUCUUGUUGCACCUCAUGAGGUGUGUGAUUCAAAAAGUUAUUACAUAUAAAUACUAAUUAAUGGGAUGAAUUAUAUAAUAAUUAGAUAAUAAUAUUAGAAUAAGGACUAGUGUUUAAUCUCUAAUUUUUUUCUUAUUCUAAACAUACAUGUAACCAUGUUUAGAAAGUUAUUUGGUUUACGCAAUAACUAUAAGUGUGAAAAAUUUAAACUACUUUUUCAUCAUAUUUGGUUAAAGACAAAGUUUUAUUGUUUAAUCUGAUACCAUAUGAUGUUGUAUAUUUUUAUCAUUUACCUUCAUCAUCUUCACCCAAUAGUAAUGAUAAUAAUAUAGUAACCACAUGAAAUAUUUUAAUAUUUUAAUAUUUGAUAUUUUAUUGUUUAACUAUUAUAUUAUUUCACCUAGUUUUGUUUUGUUUUUAAAAGCAAAAAAUUACAAAAACAUAUAGUGUAAUUUUCGUAAUGAUAAUAAUUUAAAAAAUAAAUAAAUACUUCAACAUUACAAUAAAAUCAUUAGAAACUAAUUUUAAACCUAAAAUAAUUACUUACUAUUUGACGAUCACUUUAUAAAUUAAAAUAUUAUUGGUAUCUAAAGUAAUUUUUAUUAUUAAUAAAAAUACAUCAUUACCAAAAUUUUAGUUCCUUAUUAUUUAUUAAUCUUUUAAAGAUCAAAUUAAAAUUUAAAAUAUUAAUAGUUAAAAUCUUGAUCCUUAAUUUAGAUACUAAUUUAUAAUUUAUAUUAUUUUUUAUUAAUAAUAAAAUUAGUUUAAAUACGAAUAAUUUUUUAGUUUCAUUAUCUAAUUUAGUCUAUUAAUUAUUAUUUUUAUCUUAAAAUUUGGUUUGAUGGUUUGUUACAGUAGAAGUUCAUUUUUAUUGAAGUUUGAUUUGGUUCUACGUGUUAUGUUUUAGAAAUUUAAUUUCUUAGCGUCACUUUGGUCAUACGUGGUUCAUUCAGAUUGAGAGGCUAUGAGCCCAAUGGGCAAGCACCCAUUUCCUCUAAGAAUUAUUUUUCCUGCACCCCUACGUUUUUCUUUCUGCACCCCAUAAUUUUAAAAAUUCCAAAAUUGAUUUUGACCUUGACCCUUUAUUUAGAAAAGGACACCGUGAAAUGUGCUACGGACUCAUUAAUAAUAGUAUAAAUUAUUAUGUUAUACUCUAAUCGAUAUGAAUUAUAAAAACGUUAAAUCUCAGAAAAACUAUUUAAAAAAUAUUAAAAUUAAAAUACCAACUCACUCAAUGUAUACUUUUUUAUUAUGAAUAGAAAUAGUUCAAUCCUUGUUGGAUUAUAAACAUUUUCCUGAUUUUGAAAAAUAAAUAAGUAGCAAAUGAAUGAAGUGGAAGGGAUUAAUGGAACUGUAGGAUGACAAAGACUAAAUUAAUAAUUUACAAAAUUAAAAACCAAUUCAAUAAAUUGUUAUUAAUAUAAUGAAUUGAUGUUUUUGAUUUUUUCAUAUAACAAUUGGUGAAGUUCUGAGGUAGACAAGUUGUCGCCCAACAAACUUUGACACUUCUUCUCAGAACAAGUGGUAGACCAUACAUGCAUCCUUAUUCUAAACAAAAAAAAAACAUCAAAUGUUUCAAAAAAAAACUCAAUAUUAUCCAUACCGAUGUGAUAAUGUCGUAUUCAAAAAAAAAAAAUUAUACCAAUUUGUUUUACACUAAAAAAAAUCCAAACUUUCUUCAAAUGGGAGUAAAAUACUAAACUUUCCUUUUCUCUUGACCGAGUCAACUUUCUGAACCCACUUUGCUUGCAAUGAAAAAAUGUAAUUUUUUUGACUUAAUCGUUAUGGGAAAGAAGAUUGACUGAUACAAAGUUGGAACAGAUAUGAAAAGAACCUGAACUGUUUACAGUGGUGUCACGUUAUUACCAUGAAAGUAGAUUAAAACAAACCUCAAAAGGUUAUUAUUCUUCAAUUCCCUUCACGUAAGUUGCAGUGUGGAUACUGUGAAUUUUCUUUGCUUUCAACUGGGACCUGUAGAAAGAGAAAAUGACUGCAAACAAGAAAGACACCCUUUGGAUUUCUCUUUCUCUCUCUCUCUCUCUUUCCCUCGUAAUUUUAUUUUUGAGACAACUCACAGAAGUCUUGCAAGUUGUAACCUUCAGUUUCUGGUUUCAGCCGACUAGUUUGAUCAGGUUCCGUCUACCCAGAUCUACUUUUGCCACAAUUUAUUCACUUUUUUCAUUUCUUGGAUCUAUUGCAUCUCUUGGGUAUCCUUAUUCUAUCUCAAUUUGAAGUCUUUCAUGCCAAGCUUCUUCUGGGAUCCCUUUUGAUCUUCUUUGUUGCUUAGUUUCUCGUAUAAUUUGCUCCUUGCUUCUUCUUCUGGCUUACUAUUUAUAAAGAUUUUAUCUUUUAUCGUUUCUUAUAAUUAUUUGUUAUCUUGGUAUUUACGUUUAGUUAUGAUGGUGCCCCUCUUUAAGUUUUCAAUGUUCUUUCCAAUUCAACUUUGCUUGAAAGAUUAUAUUAUACAGUGUCCUAUUUUUUUUUCCUCUGUGAUUUUAUUCAUGGUCCUUUGUUUUAUGUCUUUCCAUGCUUUCUAGUACAAUUUCGGAUUGUCUGAACUUUGAUUGCUGUUAGAAACGAUGGGGAUGAAGUGAAAUUCAUGAGGUUUGACCCUGCAUAGCAUUGUCAUUUGCAUGUUUGAGAAUUUGGAUUGAUCUCUGAAAGUUCAUGUAAGACUUAUUUUCAGAUAGUGAUGUUGGUUCUUUCUCCGUAGUAGAAUUUGGCAUGCAACUAUAGUUGAGUUCUGAUGUUGCUUCCAUGUCCAAACUCCCAAGUAGUAAAGGCUUACAAUUUUACUUCUUAUAUAUUUCAUGCCCAUUUGCCCUAUUUGUUUAAUCAUAUAUUGUGCAGACAUUGUACUUCUUGUUUCUUCUUUGAUGAAUUAGUCAACUCUAAAUGAUUGGUUUGGUUACUUUAAACUUCUAUCUUAGUACAAGUAAAGAAUACUGAUUGGAAAAUAUAUAUUUUUCUUGAAUUGUGCAUGACAAAUGUUUGAAAUGGGCUUUAUUUCUACUUGGCAGUUAAGCGUGGUUUUGGCAGGCUAAUUCUGAAAACCGGCUAGAAUGAAGAAGGCCAUUGGUCAAACUGUUAGGGAACUGUGAGUCUAACUGUUUAGGGUGGUGUUUGUUACUAUUUUUUAACUCAGCCCUAUUUCAUAAUUCCUCACUAUCUUCAUUGUCCUUGCAGUAAAAGAGAAGUAAAUAAGAAAGUGCUUAAAGUUCCUGGGAUAGAACAGAAGGUAAAUUUUGUUCGCUUAACAUUUACUGUAAAACUGAAUUGCAUAUAAUAUAACUCAUUGCAAAGACAAUGGUGUGAGGAUUUAUGUGAAGUCUGCAAUCUGAAUUUACUUUUCUAAUAUUUGCUCACAAAAGAAAUUGUUUGUUGACUAUCUUGGAGCUUACACAUUAUAAUCUUACUGUGCAAAUUUUAAUUAGACUCGUCUCUCGUCUCUUCCAGAUUCUUGAUGCUACCAGCAAUGAAGCCUGGGGUCCUCAUGGAUCACUUCUAGCAGAUAUUGCUCAGGCUACCAGAAAUUAGUAAGCUUGAACUCAUCAUUUAUGCUUGAUAUUGUAUACAAAUAUCUCACUUUUGAGCUCCCUUGCAGUCAUGAAUACCAAAUUAUCAUGGAAAUAAUCUGGAAGCGGAUUAAUGACACAGGCAAGAAUUGGCGGCAUGUCUAUAAGGUUUGUGGAACUUUUUUAUGUUUUAGAUGGAAUUACUCUUGGAAUCUCUUUUUUCUUUUGUUUAUUGUCAUAACAACACUCUUCUGUUUUGACCUUCAAUAUGCAUCCGUGAACUGAAGUACACUAUUUAUGAAAUUUUCUCAAUACUUAUUUACAAACAACUAAUGGUUCUUGCCUUUCAAGAACUCUGUCUAGUAUGUUUAUGCAUUUAUUUCUGAUCAUGCCCUCUUGGAAAAGAAUGGCUCUUACAUUUUUGUAUUAAAUGUUCAACAACAGGCUUUGACAGUAUUAGAAUAUGUGGUGGCUAAUGGGUCAGAGCGAGUCAUAGAGGAGAUUAGGGAGCAUGCCCACCAAAUAUCGGUAAUUUCCUGUCAAUUGAAACAUUUAUAAACUGUUUAGUAUUUUUCAUUCAAACUAUUAAUAUUAUUGAAAUGAUCUAAAAAUUAGAAUGCAGCUUGAUAAUGUUGUAAAUGUUCAUAUCAACAGACAUUGUCCAAUUUUCAAUAUAUUGAUUCCAGUGGAAGAGACCAGGGAAACAAUGUCAGGAAGAAAUCACAGAAUCUCAUUCUCCUUGUGAAUGAUAAAGAAAGAAUCAUAGAGGUUAGACAGAAGGCUGCUGCUAACAGGGACAAGUAAUUCUCCUCUUAUUAGUCUGUUUUUUUAUAUAUAUUUUGAACUUUGUUAUUUUCCAGUUGCUAUAAAAACUUAUGUCUUCUGCCUUGCUGGGGAAGAAAAUAUAUUUCUUUUCCCUGUAUUUUGUAAUAUCCAUCCAUUGUGUAUUUGAAUUUCUUUUGGGUUUCUAGAUCACAAAUGUAAAAUCACAGAGUAUAUUAUGUAAAUAUGUAUGUGGGUUAAUCCGGAGGAGAUAUGUAAUGUAAUUGCCCAGCAUGAUUCACCAGGUUUCGCGCCAGUUCAACAGGUGGAAUGUACAGGCCUGGUUCUCAUUCUAGCAGUGGGGCUUAUGGUGAUAGAUAUGAAGAUGAUCGUUAUAGAAGCAGGGAGGAAGAUAGAAGUGAUCAUGGCUAUGGCAGAGAAAGAGAGUGGGGCUAUAGAGAUGAUGAUCGGUAUAGUCGUGAAGGAGAUCGUUAUGGCAGAGAUAAUGAGGAAAGCUACAGAAAAGAUGGCUAUAGGGAUGAUGAGUACCAUAGAAGAAGUGUUGAUGAUGGCCAAUAUGGCUCAAGAAGCAGGAGCUCUGACAGAGAUCAUGAUCAUAAUGUUGAUGAUGAUGGUCAGCGUUCAUCUGGGUACGUGCCUGAGAUAGCCAAAAAAAAACAUCUAACAAAAUCUGAAAUAGAUAAUGUUUUUAUUUUUCAUAAUUAUAGUUCUUGGGGUUCAUUUGGUUUUGGAUCUUAGACUCUUAUUAGUUGUUAUGAUCUGUAUAUAUAUAUAUGCAUAUUAGAUGUAAAAAACUUAGACUACUUCAAAAGACAAGUACACAGCAUAAUCCGUAUUAGCUUUGAUGUUAGGAUUCAUGGUUGCACAACAUUCCUCUCUCAUUCUGCUUACUCCAUCCUUUUUUACAAUGUUGUCUCAGAGGUAGCAUUGCUAAAGCUGAAGCUCAUUCAAUGGAAGGAAGGUAAAUCAUCCCUCUCUCUCAUAUCACACACAUAUCCAUGCAUAAUGGCCAUUUAGCAUUAUUUUGGAUGACCAUAUGCAAUUCCAUGGGCAGGUUAGAGCAGAAACUUUCUGAGCAAAAUGUGGGUGCUCCUCCCAGUUAUGAAGAAGCUCUUUCUCAAAGCCCUUUACACAAUGAAAGGUAUGAAUUUAAUAAUACCGAGAUUAUCUAUUCCAAUUCCGAACAUAUUUGUUACUAUAUCACUUUGAUUGAAGGGAUGGGGGAAUUUCAGCUGCAAAAGCCUCUUCUCCUGUAAGUGACAAUCCUACACAAACAGCUGCUGCUGCCAGUACUGCAACAUCUGGAAACCCAGAAUCUAAGGCUUUUGAUGAAUUUGAUCCUCGUGGUCAUCCUGCAUCAGGUGUGGCAAGUUCUUUGUUUUGAAAAUUGAGUACACAUGUUGAAGUUUAUUAUUUUUAAUUGUCCUUUUUCUACUUCAUGUCAGGUUCGACACUCACAUAUAUGUAUGUGUCCAAUGAAAUAUAUUUAUAAUUAUCAACAUAUGAUAGCAAAUUUUUAUUGUAUGUUUCUUAUUAGCUGCCCGAGCUCCUGCUAGUAAUGUUGAACUGGACUUGUUCGGCUCCCUAUCUGAACCAUUCUCUUCAAAUGCAUUGGCUCCUGUGUCUUCUGCACCAGAAACAACAACCUCUCAAGGCAACACAAACCUUGAUUCAACUGUGGCCUUUGCACCACCACCAUCUGCUACUAAUAAUUUCAAUACGGUAGGAAUUUGCUUUUUUGUUUAUACCUUGACUCUAAGAAAGUAUUUGAAUACGCUGUAUUAUUUAAUAAGAAUGAAUUUUUGUGUAUGGCUUGGAAUGAUUUUCUUGCAUGCUUAGGUGGGUAGCUUCAACUUAAGAAAUGUAGCGUAUUAAAUACUGUAACUUCUGUAAAACAUUAAUUUAAUUUGUAUCCUUUGACAAGAGUUCAUCUCUGUUAAUCCUGGUUUUUUGUUGGUUUAACUUUUGGCAGGUGUUUGAAGACCCAUUUGGUGAUUCACCGUUUAAGGCUCUUCCUUCUGCUGAAACUCCUCCACCUCAACCCCAGACUCAUCAGAGUCGUGCACCAUCCCAGCCAAGUGGUUCUAACACAGAAUCAGUCUCUAACUUUGGGUUUGGAGACUCAUUUUCUGCUCCGCCGAGAGAUCGUGACACUCAGUCUUUGCCAUUGAACUCCCAGUUUUUGUCAUCAUCACUGGAAACUGAUAUUCUUGCAGACAUUCUUCCACUACCUGGGACAACCUCACGGCAGAACUUUUCAGCUCAUCCUGAUGCUCAGGCCUCAUCCUCCUUUUCAGCUUCAUCAGGGCAGAUGGCAUCACAAUCUUUUUUUGCAGAGUCUGGCCAACAUGCGCAGCAAGGGUUCUCAGCUGGAACCAGUCAACCUGCCACAGAGGCCGUAUCAGUUCCUGGUGGCCAACUGCUACAACCCCUGUCAUCGAAUCCCACUAGUCAACGUACACAGCAACCCUUUCCAUCUCAUACUGAUCAAUCUGUGCCGUCAGUUAGUCAUAUAUAUGGUGGAUUCCCUCCCCAGGCAGGUUCUAUGACUGAAGGAGCUUCCAGCAUGUUCCCUCAAACGCAAGGUGGACACAUGAACCAGACCUAUGAACAGAGAUCUAUGGCACUUAUUCCUGCACACACGGCUCCCCAACUUCCAAUGGGACAGAGUGCAAACUUUUUGUCUUCUCAAUCCCCCAUUGAUCAAGCAUCACAGUUUAACAGCGGGAUCUUAAUGGCACAACAGCAAGGACAUGCUUUGCAGAAUGCUGUUUCUCAACCAUCCUCCAAGGACAAGUUUGAGACAAAAUCCACAGUCUGGGCAGAUACACUGAGCAGGGGCUUGGUUAAUUUAAAUAUAUCUGGACGUGAGUGUUGUGCUUAUAUACCUUCUCAGACUGUUUCCAACUUGUGGUCUUAUCUGGAUGAACACUGACUUCUCAUGUUUUUCAUUUGCAGCUAAAAUAAACCCUUUAGCAAACAUUGGAGUGGACUUUGAUGCAAUUAAUAGGAAGGAGAAGAGGAUGGAGAAGCCGACCACGACAUCGGUAACAUCAACUGUAACCAUGGGUAAAGCUAUGGGAUCUGGUUCAGGCAUGGGCCGGGUCGGUUCUGGUGCUUUUAGACCACCACCUACAUCAAACCCAAUGAUGGGUAUGGGCAUGGGAAGCUACGGAGGUAUGAACGCCCCUGUGGGUAUGGGGAUGAACAUGAGGGGCAUGGGGCAGAUGCAGCCACCACCUGCACCUACUGGACUGCCUCCUGGAUAUACCAUGCCUGGUAAUUAUAACUCCAUGAUGGGAACAGGUGGUGGUUAUCCUCAGUAUCCUUAUGGCCUUGGUGGCUACCGACAAAAUUGACCAUUGCACCUGGAUAUCAUUACCAAUGUCAAACAGUGUGUGAGACUUAUUGAGCAUUAUACUUAGAUAGCAAUAUCAAAGUGUAUGAGAUUGAUUGAGCAUUAUACCUGGAAGAUAAGAUAGCACGUCAAUACCUCAUUUGUGGCAUCAUCACUACCAGUGAAUGGAUCAAAUAACCCUUCUUGGGUUAUUACUUUUUGUUAUUAACCCCAACACCAACCAGUGGUGCCAUGUUUAAUAUGUUAUCUUCCCUUUGCCUAUUCUACAUCCAUGUUAAAAUCAUGAACUCAGCAUUUAAUAGUCUGCCCAACAGUUUUCCAAUGUGUAUCUACAUCUGUUUGUGUAUAUAUUAAAGAAAAUUUCUUGCUUGAGGGAUUGGACAUUGAAGAAAAACUGAUACCUUUUAACAGCUACUCCCGAUAAUGGAGAUAAAAGAAUGCAUUCAAAAUUGUCAGAGGGCAAUCCCGAAACAAUUAAUUUCGUAAGUCAUUUCCUAUUCAUUCUGAAAUGGACUUUCCAAAAUGUGUUUUUUACAUUCCGGAACAGAUAAAUGGUGGCUCAAAACAUUGAUGGAGUGUACAAAUAUACAUCCUUAAUCAACCCAAAUCUAUCUUAAAAUAUUUUCUUUCUUCAAAGUAAUUAAAUUGUCACAUUUAGCAAGCAUUAUUACUCACUGAAUUUUAGAAUCUAACAAAUCCGUCCAAAACACUCAAAUGUCCUUCUACACAAAUUGAAUCGAAUUGAAUGCUUCUUUUUUUGCAAUGUCCAUCUUUGAAGGAGACUCUUCCUCGUGCUUCUACUCUUCAAACACCUCUUAAGGUGUGCGUAGUUUUUUUGAGCUUCCAGCCCAGGUGCUGUUAUUAUGAUUUACCUGAAGUAGUAGCUUCUUCAUCAUGUUGUCUUUGAUUGGCAUCUUCAGCAACAUGAAGAUGGUCUUGAUUCUCAUUUGUGUCACCACUGCAAUCAGUUCAGCAAAAAGUUCGUAUAUUAGAGAAAUCAAACUGCAGUAGGCAUCUCACUCUACUCAUGAGGAAAAGUUGAGAGCAGGAUUGUGUGAACUACUGUGCAGUGAUUCAGCAUUAAAGAAAAGAAAUUUAUGCGUACAAAGUGUGAAAUUACAUACCCAGAAUAGAUAAUAAGACCAACAACAACAGCACCAAAGGCCACAUAGUACAUCCAAUCAACCUGGAAAGCAAAAUUGGCACUUGAAAUAUUAGUACACUCUGCAUGCCACUCAUAAUUUGAUUGGGAAAAAUAGCGUGAUUCAAGGGUGAUGUCAGACCUUCUCAUGGUAAGCGAAAAUGCGAAUUAAGACAGCCCACAUGUCGGAGGUUAAUAGAGACAAAUUUAACAUAGUGGAACCAUUGAUCUGUGACAAAACAAAGAAUAUUAUAAAAUGUUAGUUCUAAAGCUAAACUGUAAGAUGGUUUAACGCCAUUUAACACUUCAAUACUUUUAGUGAGGCAAGGGAGUAUGAAACAAGUACUACGCAAGAUUCUCAAGCACCUUCAAGGGUGAAAUUUUUUUCACAUUGCUAACAAUUAUUGAAUAGUUUGAUCCAAGAAAUAAACUUAAGUGUAAAAUUAAUAGAAAAAUAUUCAAUAAAAGAAGUAACAAAAUCAAAAAAUUACUUCCAUCUAGUAACAUACAAUUUCAAGCUACAAAAUCUGCAGAAUCAUUGUAGUUCGAAUCCACACCUUAAGUAGGACAGGGACUAAAGAGUAAAACAUAAACAUAGCCACCGCAAAUCCGAAAAAAGGAAGCGCCUGCAAUCACCAUGGCAAGAAAUGGUCAUAAAUAAUAAAUUGCAAUGUUGCUAGAACAUAAACAAUUUGAUGUACAAAAAACAGAUAGUAUUUAAGGGGAUGCAGUAAAAUGUAAAACAAAACUAGAGAAUAGUCUAUAAUCAUUAGGCCAGUUGUGAGAGGGGAUGGUUCUAAAUAUUUACCCCUGAUCUCAAGAGAAAGGGACACGUCACCAUUCUUAGGAACAAAUUCACUGUUUCAUUCCAUGAUUGCAAACAAAAAGCAACUCAGGAUUUUUUGGCUCUUCCAGACGUAAAGAGAAGGACCGUGUGAAUGAAAUCAAACAUGUAUGGACAUCUGAGACAGACUCUUACAGCCUUGCAGACAUCUUAAAAUAAAGUGAAACUUUGCCAAUUACUCAAAUAAUACUGUGCCAGUGUGAGUGUUAUAAUUGAGAGAGAGAGAGAGAGAGAGAGAGAGAACUUACUGCCUCAGCUGACCAGUGAAUAGAUUUGAGCUCAUUGCGCUCAAGUAUGCUUCUGUAGUACGUUUAAGACCAAAACAGGAAAAAGAGAACUAAGAAUUUGAUGAGGGUACUAAAUACAAGUGUUUUCAACCUUUUUUUUACUUUCUGGAUUCAAAAAGAAACUUUGAUACCAAAAUUAUCUUUAUCUCAGCUAAUUGUAAUUAAUUUAAAAACUAUCUAUUUUAACAUUUUCGUAGUCAAUUCUAAAUUAAAAUUCCCAGUGCAAUAUGAUAAUGACAUAGUUCGAUUUAUUUAACCAGAGUAAAGCAAUUGCAAUUAGACACUUCAGCUUUGCAACGGGUGAAUGAAAUGAAGAUGUAUAGAAAGUCCAAAUCAAUACAAAUGUUAUAUUAAAAAUGUUGGAAUUAAUGUUUGAGCACGUGUCAUAAAAUGGAUUCCUCAAUGCAAAUUUAAUAAAGCACAAGUUUGAAGACGAAUAAACAGGUAGAAGAAGUUAAGAAAAUUAUUCAACAAAAGGAUCUAAGUCUGCUCUUAAUGAAAUUAAUUUCAAGGAUACAUUUGAAUGGCACUGAUAAUGCCACCAAAGACACCCAACAUUGCCAUCAACUCAACUCUAUCAGCAUUUUUCACUAGAAACUCCUGUAAUUGGAAAGAAAUAACAAUACCAAAAGAGAUUACUCAUAAUGAAAUACUAAGUGUGGAUGAAUCAUGUGGGAGCAUCUCAAUUAGCUCAAAUGCAUUAUAUUCUUACUUUGCUGUCGAGAUCUCAGAUUCAAGCUGACUUGAAAAUUUGGAUCAAUAAGAUAAGAUUUUCAACAUGAGUAUAUGCACAUAGUAUUGCAAAAUGUGUUAAAAGCAGAAGUGCAAUCAGUUUACCUCACUGACGUUGCUGACAGCAUACAGUGUAGCACCAGCAAUAACAAGAAGAUCCCCUGUACGAGGGUUGCUUCCACCUAUAGCAUGUGUACAUACGAUUAGACAAUUACCAUAAGGAGAAAGAUAUGCUUUACUAAUGACAAAUGACAAGAUCAACAUGUACGAAAACAAAUCUGAAGAACAAAGACACUGAACACCCAACUCUAUCUUUCUGAAUGUGCCUGUGUAAUGUUGGUGUUUACACAUGCACAAGAUAUAGGGAUCAAUCUCAGAAAUUAUAAGCCACCAACCUGCUCGAUCGCCUGCAUGGACAUCUGAAAAUACAACCAGGACAAGGCCAGCAAGGCAAACAAGUACGCCGGUUAUCUUUAUGAAUCUAUAUCUUGUUUUCAAGAAAAUCCACGUAAAAAGCAUGACGCAUGGGAUGGACCAGCAGUCAAGCAGCAUCACACUUGUUAGUGAUGUGUAUUGAUACGCCUUCACAACUGUUCAUUAGAUGAGAAUUAGCAUGUAAGUCACCAAAGUAAAAUGAUGCAACUCAAUAGGUAACUUGCUUCAAUAGAACAUAUAUGAAUUGUCCAACACUAAAUGUAAUAGAAACAAAACAUUAAAGUUAUACUGAAGUAAUGUAAAUUUGGAAAAUUAAGUGAUACAGGCUUGAGCAGAUUGAAUACAAAUAUAUUAAUUUCAAUUUUCAACAAUGUUCUCCAAGUACUUACUAUGUCUAUGCCAUCAGAAACACUUACCAAGAAAAUUUGCUUCAACAUCAACCAAGCCAAGAAGUAUGUAAUAAUACCAUUUUGCCUGCACCAAUACCGAUGGAUAAGUGAAAUUAUCUUUAAAUGUUCAAUGCUCAUAAGAGAAUAGAGUAAAAAGAGAAUAUCAGUAUAUCUUUUAAAGGAAGUAGUCUCGCACCCUCUCUUGGAGGUUUCUUUUAAACAGACGAAGAAGUUAAUGAAUAUUAAGUAAAAACAGUAUAAUAACAUUAAGCGUGGUAGUUUAUAUCUCCAUUGUCAAAAUUUGUAGAUAGGUAGGAUCAUGCAAAAUAGAUGGAACAUUUUAAUACUGGCUAGAGAUAUCACUGAUCCACAAUAUACUUAUGAAAAACAGAAAUAGAAGAUUCAUUGACAUUUGAGACACCAUUCUUCUCCAACAUUCUUUUUACUCUAAUUCUAUGUGAACAACGCUUUUUACUUAUACAAAUACCCAUCUAUUUCAGCAACAUUAUAGUCACCUACGGAUCUAUACAGUGAUACAUCAACACUUAUCUUUACAAACUCCAAAACAACCAAAUGGCUCUGCAAAUUCGUUGUUUCUUUCUGUCCCCUUCAAGUGAUGUUCAUAAAGCAUCCCUUUCUUAUGAUGAAAGUAAUAAUAAACACACCACCAAUAUCAAACCUUGUGUCACGUGAUGUUCAUCAUUCACAAAUGACAGCACAGUAUGAAAGCACAGAUAAAUUUUAGGCAUACAAGCGACACUACCAAUAGUUUCCUGUCAUCUAAUGAAAUCACCAGCUUAAAAUGAGAUGAAGCAAAUAUGCACAAAUUAGAUAAAAGAAUGUUUCGAAUAAUCUUCCUUUAAUUUCAGACAAAAGAAACAAAAAUUACAGAUAUUAAUUAUCUAAGGCACAACAUCAUGCAUUGCAAAUAAAUGAAAGCCCUGAUCUAUAACCUUAAGUGCUUCCCUUCUGUACACAAGAAUGCUCCCGUAGACAAUUGCCAAAAACACGUAGUUCAAAAACGACUGUGAAGUUGGUGCAUUAAUCCCUGUAACAAUACAAUACAAAGAUAACACUUUUUAGAACUGAAUAAAAUCAAUAUAAGUAGGGUGAUUGAAGAACAUAACAUGCAAAUGAAAUUUAGAAAACAAAACCCACUGAUCAAAAGACACGUUUACAAAACUCCUAAAGAAAAUCAAGCCAAUCCAAAAAUGUUCAUUAACAGAUGACUUCCGUUGACUAACAACUAAGAACCAACAAUAGAUAAAAUAAAAGAGAGAAUUUCGGUGAAUCGUAGGAGAAUGCAGCCAAACCUUUUUUGGGCAAUUCAGAAGAGGUGAAACCAGUGGAAGUGAUCAGAAGAGAGAGAAACUGUCCCAACCCAAGACCUAUUAACGUGUUUUUGUUCUUGAAUUGGUCGAAAGUAAGCAUCUUUUCCUUUGCCCGGGAAAAAAAAGAAGUCCAAAUGUAAGAUAGAAUGUGAAGUUUAGCUAACACCCUUUUGCAGACACUCUACUAUGCACCAUUUAAGGAUGUUCCAAAGAACAUGGUUUGCAGAGGAAGUAGAAAAACACAACACUUGUGUUUGGGUGAAAUCAGAAACAGCAAUUUGCGGAGUUUACAAUCGAUUAGGGUUGUAGUGUCGUGAUAAUUCAGUUUAAUCUAAUUUUUAUACAACUCAAUUAAAUUAAUGUUUACGUUUUUUAUUCACCUACUUACCCAGUCUAAGUCAACUUAAUUAUAAUUAGUUUAAAUCAGUCAAAUCAUUUAUUAAAAAGAUACUUCAAAAUAAAUAAUACUAUUAUAUUUUUUUAACAAUUAUCAAAUAAUUAUUCUCACCUAAUAUUGUUAUUUUUAGGUUUAAUUACCUUUUUCGUCCCUAUAAUUAUAGUCAAUAGUCAAUUUGGUACAUUGGUUUUUAAAAAAUUCAAUUUGAUCCCUAAGUUUUUUAAAAUGUAUUUAAAAUGAUCCUUUCUGUUAAAUAUCUGAUUUAAGUGGUGCUUAUGUGGCAGACACGUGUAAGUUACGUGGAUGGUGCUUACAUGACUUUAGAGAAUACUGAAUUAGAGUUUAGGUUAUUCAAAUUGGGGAUUUCAAAUUUCUGAUUUAGGGUUUCUAAUACGAGGAUUGUUCCCCUGAUUGGAUUCUGUGGUGCGCUUCCCUGCUUCGAUUCCAUUCGGAGGUGUCCCCUCAUUCGAUUUUUUUAGAUGGCGUAAGCAUGGGAUACAGAAUCGAAGGUUCGUGAUUUUUUCUUAAAAAAACAUUUUAGUAAAUUAAAUAUAUAUAUAUAUAUAUAAAAGUUUAUAUAAAUCUUUAUUCACGUAAAGAUUGAUGGAUGUUUAUUAUUAUAGGUGGAAAUAAAUUUGUUGUUAUUAUAAUCGUUUGUAUGAGAAUUAAAUGAAAGAGAAAUAGAAUAUAGUGGUUUAAAUAAAAUGAAUAUGAUUGGUUUGUGAUGAUGUUUAGUUUUGGGCUUUCUGCUAAACCCAUGUUCUUCUUUCCUGUUAGUUUUGGUGUAAAAAAUUCAAAAUAAAAAUUAAUUAAUUUGAUAAUUUUUGUUGUUACGUGUAUGAUGACAAAUAAUUUUGUGGAUGUUAAAAAAUCGAAAGAGGUUUUUAAGGUGUUUAAUAAUACAUGGGAAGUGCAAGAAUAUUUGAAAUGAUUAUUAAAAAAUAUACAGUUUUAAUUUUUUUAAGUAUACUUUUAUAUAUAUAUGUUGAGAAUUUAAUAUUUUACUUUAAUUAUAAUUAUUAUUUAGUUUGUAUUAUUUUGAAUAAUCUCUUAUUUGCUUAAUUAAAAAGAUAACAAAAUUAAAUGGAGACAUAUAAGAUCUUUGGAUGAAUUAUUAGACGCAUAUUUCAUAAUUAAAUUUUCUUGAAUUGAUUGAUACAUCUUUUUUCCCAUAUUACUUUCACAAAUUUUUCUUAUUAAAAAAAACUUAAAAAAUAUAAGUUUAACAUAAUUAUGUUACCAGUAAUAAUAAUAAUAAUAAUAAUAAUAUAAAUUUUAAAAAAAUUAUUCUAUAUUUCAUUCAUUUUACAUACAAACCAUUAUAAUAAUAACACAUUUAAUUCUCAAUUAUAUUACAAAAACAAUAUUUUUUACCCUUAAACAAUUUUUUAUUUUGUCAAUCGAAUUAAAAUUUAAAGCAUUUUAUUUAUUUGUUUUAAAAAUUUGAUUUUUAUACACCAUUUUUUCUCUUUAAUUCACAUAUAUACAUUCUACUUUAUAUUUUAACUCAUUUAUAUUUCUUAUUCUAUCUUUUAAAACCCUUUCAGAAUUUAACGUCACCAAUAAUAAGAAUCUACAAUAUUUUAUUUUUCUUUUAUCCUUUAUUCAUAUCCUAUAAAAACUGUUAUAAUAAUAACAAUUUUGUAAAAUUUCAUAUUAUUUUUAAAAAAUAAAUAAUAUUACAAUAACAAUUUUCACCCUUAAAUUAUUUUUUAUUUUGUUCCUUCUCAUAAACCAAUUAAUUUUAAUCUAAACAUUUUUAGUUAUUUAUUUUAAAUUUCUCUUGCACAUAAUAAUCCCUUUCGUCAAUAUAAAUAUAGAUCCACUCUAUUUUUCCAUUCAUUUUAUAUUGUUUUUUUAGAUUCCUUUCAACAAAAUUCCACAAAUAAUAAUAAAUAUCCACAAAAUUUUAAAAUUGUCUUAUAUUUUCUAAUUUGUAAAUUUGUUAUAAAUCUCAAUUAUAGCCCAUUUACAUAGUUAUUUAUAAUAAUCUUUGCAUUCAUUAUGCAUGAACAAAGUAGGUUUAUAGUUAUGCAUGACUGAAUGAACAAAGUAUGUUUAUAAUUAUGCAUGACAGUGGUACUGAUUAACACUGAGUGAUCAAUUUACGAAAAAAAAUAUAUACUAGUAGGGUAUCUAACUAAAAUCUCAUAUGCUACGUGAUUUUCUCUUCUCUUCGUUGAUGUUUAUCUGCAAUGGUACAAGACAAAGAAAAAAAAAUACAUAUACUAGUAGGGUAUCUAACUAAAAUCUCAUAUGCUACGUGAUUUUAUCUUCUCUUCGUUGAUGUUUAUCUGCAAUGGUACAAGACAAAGAAAAAAAAAUACAUAUACUAGUAGGGUAUCUAACUAAAAUUCGAUAUGCUAUGUGAUUUUCUCUUCUCUUCGUUUAUGUUUAUCUGCAAUGGUGCAAGACAAAGAAAAAAAAUACAUAUACUAGUAGGGUAUCUAACUAAAAUCCCAUAUGCUACGUGAUUUUCUCUUCUCUUCGUUUAUGUUUAUCUGCAAUGGUGCAAGACAAAGAAAACCAGAUCCUUUUCUCUUUCCAUGUCCCUUCCACCACACCUUUAUGCAUGAGUUGGAUACACUUAUCUAUAUGAACAAACUCCCUUAAUCCAAACAUAAUGUAAACACGAUAAUUUAGAAAAUAAAUUUUUCCAAAGUAUACUUGAUUACUUUUUGUUCAGUAUUUCUUCAUAAGAGUAACAUUAGAAGAAAAAAUUCUUCAUUUUAAGGUGAAAAAUAUGAUAUUUAUGUGUAAGUAUGAAUAUAUAUAUUUGUAAAAUUAAAAAAAAAAAGUGAAUUUGAAGUAUUAGUAUAAAGAAAAAUGUUUGAUGAGAAAAAAAGGUUGGUGAGAUAAGAAAGAGAUAGGGCAUGAUGUCCAUAGAUCUAAGAUUAUAUAUAUACGGAAGAGAGAGAAGAUACGUACCAAUCCCAUUUACCCUAAUCUUCCUUCCUUCAUUCCUUCUUCACGCUGUUGCUCUUCUUCUUCUUCCUCUUCCCACUGCCACACCCAAAUCUUAGGGUUAGGGUUUCAGCUCUCACCAACUGUCACUCGAUCUGUUCUCUGCUACCUCGCCAUGGAUCAUCGCAAGAGGGGGAGGUCUGAAGCUACCUUCAAUGUCAAUGGCGGCGCCAAGAAAUUCAGGCCAGGUUUGUUUCUACUCCUUCAUCACUUACCGUAUUCUCCUCUUCUUUCUGCUUACCACUUACGUAAUUCCAAUCUGCUUUCACUUUUAUCGUGCUUUUGCUCUUUACUGUUCAUCAAUCUUUCCAACACGCGCUGCCCGUAUUUUGUUCUGUUUUGUUUUCAUCUGCGCGCCAUUCACAAGUGUUAAAAAAUGCUAGGCCAAUUUCGCUCCCGGUUCCAUCGUUCUUUUCUUUAAAAAAACAUUUAUUGUUGCAUAUUGUUAAUGUUUUCAACGAGAUGUUUGUUUGAAACAGUUAAAAUUUCAUGUUCUCGUACAGAUGCAGUUUUGUUAAUAUUUUUACAGAUAAAAUUUCAUUAUCACAUCAAUUUACGUUCUGUCCUGGUAAUAUGUAUGAGAUGUUGAAUUAUUGUCUCGUGCACCUUCUCCGAAAACACUCGGUAUACGUAGGCUUAAAUGAGCUAAUAUUGGUCAAAUAAUAAGAAUAAAUGGUUAUUGGAUAUUAUCCAAGUUGAAUCAUAAAAGAUCAAUGGAAUUUUAACUGAGAGAACUUAAUUAAUGUUCUGUAACAGAAACGGACUCCUUUCCAACUGGUUUAGGAAGCAAAUCGAAGCCAUGCACAAAGUUUUUCAGGUUCAAAUCUUUAACUUAUCUAAAAUAAAAAUUGAAUGCACUUUCGUAUAUGUAUAAAUUUUCUAAUGUUUUAGAUAAAAUUGAUACACAGUCUCUUCAAGCUGAAUCCAUAUGAUUUGACUAAUGAAUUGGGUAAUUAAAGCUGUGAUACAGGUCCUACUUCUAAUUAUGAUAACAAGAGUAUGAACAGAAAUUGUUGAUUCUCAAGAAUGAUCAGUUCUAUUAAGUGCUUCCUGGGAAAUAUAUAAUUGAAAGCAAGGGGUGUGAUGCCAACCACUGAAAUGGAUAGAGCAGUACAUGGCCUAAGACACAUAUAUCUAUCAAUACACUAACAACACACUUCUUUCUUAUUUUUGUAUGGAAUUGUUGAAUUACCUGAUUUUCAAUUGAUCUCUAUUAUGCAAUGAUGAUAAUGUGGUUCUUGUGUUGACUAUACUGCUUAGCUGAUGUAUGCUGUUGUGCAAUUGUUUGAUAUAUUACUCUCGAGGCUGAUACAUGCUGUAUUUUUGUCGCCUUAAUAAUAUUGAAGUCUGAGGACUUCUUCCAUUUGGUUUUGAAUGCGUCAAUUUGAAGAUUAACCAUGGCUUGGAAAAGUAAUGCCUAAUAAUAUUAUAGAGUUUGUAACCAUGGAAACUGGAAUGGCUUUAGAUUUCUAGGAAAAGCAUUGUGAUAAUUUGAAAGUGCUGAAAUCUAGAAAGAGAAUAAAGAAAAUAAUCUUCAAAAAAUUUGAUCAUAUCGCCACAUAACUCAUUUUUUUAUAAUUUUCAGAUAAUUUUUUGUGUGCAGAUGUGUAAUUAUUCAGAAUAGUCUUCCAAAUACCAUAAUGUCUUGUAUUGCCGAACACAGUUAGCCCUAAUAUACUCCAAAUGUAUACAGAAGUCAUGAUGUCUUCCAUUAGCAAUUCUUUUCUUUUGAAAAUACUUCCAACUGUUAUAUUCCAAAUAAUAGGACUUUAAAUACUCUGCAAGGUAUUGCACCUUCCUAUUUUCCAUUAACUUAUCUUCAAAAUCUUUUCUAGACCGGCAUUGGUGUUGUCGUGUAUUUAUUCUAAAUCUUAUUUAAUCAGAAUUCAUCCGUGCGCAGAUCAGUCAUAUUCUUUAUCACGUCCUCUCGAUCGAGAGCAAUCUUUUGUUGUAUGCUUAGUUUUACAAUACAUAUUCUGUACCUGAUUUUUUAUUUAUUUGUAAAAAUAGCUAUUUUACAAUACAUACCAUACCAAUAUUUGUAAAAUAUUAGGAUUAAGCCUUUUACCUGUUUUUUUGGGCCCAAAGAGGAAGCUUUACUAAUAUUUGUAUUUAUGAACCAUUAAAAAUUGUGAUGUUGUCAUCUUUACUCAUUUGCUCUCUGCUUUAGAAGAUACAGAUAUCUGCUGGGAGUGUUUGUUAUCUGUCUAGCAAGUUAGAAGCCUUGCAUGCCUUGGUAGUCUAUACUAUUGUAUAUGAUUGCUUGUUUACAUUAGAAGUUUGAUCCCUGACACUCUGUUUGGUUAGAAAUGGAGUGGAAGGAAAUAAAAAAUAGGGAGAUUGGAUUGAAAUAUCAAAUUUCCACUAUUUGUAAAUUUCUCUUUUUUAAGUGUUUUCUUGGUAAAUUUGUCUUGAUGUUCUUGUAUACUCAUUAAUCUGUGUUUUUAUCUAUUUACUCGUGAGUUUUCCACUCUCUUGUUUUCUUUGUUCCAUCUGUCUAUGUUCUCUGUUUGUCUUGUCUCUGGUCUGAGUUCUUAGAUGUGUUCACAUAUCCUCGUUAAUCUGUGUUUUCAUCUGUUUUCCCAGGAGUUUUUGCCUCUCUUGUUUUCUUUGUUCAAUCAGUAUAUGUUCUCUGUUUAGUUUCUCUCUGGUUUGAAUCUUAGAUAUACCUUUUGGUCAACGAUACUGACCGAAAUUAUUCACUCCUUUUUUUCUCCAUUUUUUGUUAGUUAGCCAUGACAUUUUUUGUUACUAAUUUACUUGUAUGAUUGCUUAAGAGAAAAGAUCUAUAACUUCUUAUUGUUAAUUAUGAACAUGUCAAGAUUUAAGUAUUUUUGAAAAUUUGUAUGUUUUUAGUAUGAAUUAUAUCAAAUGUACAAGAAACUUUAACAAUGCAAGUCAUUUGUUAUGCACUGUGAUGCUAUUGUGUUUUUGGGGACAACUGUUACAGUUUACUUUCCAGGAUUGGUAGUUGUGUCUUCUCUCUAUUCUGUACUGUUGCUUCUAAGUCAGUCUAAGUGACCACGGUGAAUGUUUUUGUUGUUCACUUGUUGAAAGAAUAGCAGAUAAACAUUACAUGUAACAUAGAAAAGGGAUGUAUGUGUAGAUUACUUACGAAGAAGGAAUAAGACUAUGACUUGGGAUGUUUUCAUAAAAUUCAUGCAACCGUGUUACAUGGAUCUGGGAUUUUCCAUUAUUUUCUUCUAAUGUGUAUUCUUAAUGUUCAUUCAUUUGGUAAUUUGAUGUUUAUAGCCUCUAUAUGUUUGUUACCUCGACUAUGAGAAAUCAGAUUGAGCAUUGAGUUAGUGCUGAAUCUUAUUAUUUUAGACUUCAAAAUUAUUUAUGAUUUCUAUAUUACUGUUAAUUAGAUAUGCCAUGCUAUAGUUUGUUACGUAUGAUUUCUUUUCUCAUAAGAUGCGCUCUAAUUUCUAAGCUUAUUUGUCCUUGAUAAUCAUGUUCCUUGCAUUAUUCUCUUAUUGUCAUUAGAAUAAUUUGCCAUCUUAUUUAUGAUAUACUUUACCAGUCUGAACUGAACCUUUUUUUCUUCUCCCGUACUGUCAUUUGGUAUUCAAUAUUGUUUGUUACUUCGGUCAUCCAUCAUUAGUAUUUUCACGGCUAAAAAUUCCCAGAUAAUGUUAUAUUAUAUUUGCUUAACUAGAGGAAGAUGAUGUUAAUUAUGAAAAUUUAAAAAAUGGCAUUAGUUUUGUAAGGGAAAGCAUUCUUGAUACAUUUUAAAUGAAUCAUCUUAAUUCUUAAAAGAUGCUACUUUGUUGUAUAUCAUUUGUCUGACUUUUUAGCUUCUAAUUUUCAGUUCAUACUUCAUAGAAUGAAUUAGCAUUUUACUGAGGUCCCGGAAUCUUACUAGUUGAUUAUAUGAUAACCUCAUGUCGUCUUCUUUCCUCUAUAAUGCAGCACCUCUGGCUGUCCAUUCGGUGAAGGAUGUCAUUUCCUGCAUUACGUUCCCGGUGGCUUCAAAGCAGUCUCUCAGUUGAUCAAUGUUGGUAGCGAUCCUGCCAUCCCUCAUGCUGGUAGAAAUCCUAUUCUACCAUCCUUCCCUGACGGGUCUUCUCCUCCAGUUGUUAAGACCCGAUUGUGCAACAAGUUUAAUACGGCUGAGGGUUGCAAAUUUGGUGACAAAUGUCACUUUGCCCAUGGUGAGUGGGAGCUCGGCAGGCCCACGGCACCAUCAUAUGAAGAUCCCCGAGUUAUGGGACAAAUGCCAAACAGCAGGAUAGGUGGACGUGGCGAGCCCCCAUUUCCAGGUCACGGUGCAGCCGCCAGCUUUGGAGCCUCUGCCACUGCAAAAAUCAGUAUCAAUGCUUCACUAGCUGGAGCAGUGAUUGGAAAAAGUGGUGUGAACUCAAAGCAAAUUUGUCGUGUAACAGGAGCUAAACUUGCCGUAAGGGAUCAUGACACGGAUUCUAACCUCAGAAACAUCGAGCUUGAAGGUAGUCUCGAUCAGAUAAAGCAAGCCAGUGCCAUGGUACACGAACUUAUUUUAAAUAUUAGUGCUGCCUCUGGGCCUCCAAUUAAAAGCUUUUCUACACAGAAUUCUGCCCCCACAAGCAACUUCAAGACCAAGCUCUGCGGAAACUUCACUAAAGGUUCCUGCACUUUUGGGGAAAGGUGUCACUUCGCACAUGGAACUGAUGAUUUGCGCAAGACUGGAAUGUGAUACUGUUAUAAUAUAGUUUAAGUGGUUUUAGUGAGGAAGGAUUGAAUUGUGCAAAAUUUUCUAGUUUUUCAAUUUUUUUUUCAAUCAGCUUCUAAUUUGCUACAUGAUAACUAAUGGUGAGUCUUACCACAGCUUCUGAAAUUCGAUUGCCUCUCACUAUCACUCUUUCAUAUUUCAUAAUUUUCACUUUCUUCCUCUUGCCCUUCCACUCUUCCCUGUUUAAUUCCCUGUACUAAAUAUAUUUUUCAGUAUUAGUGUUACUUUAAUCUGUUAAUUUUAGUAUAAUAGCAAUCCUAAUCUUCUUGCUUAUAUGAAUAAAAGAAAACAAAGUAAUUUAAAAAAUAACUUUAAGAAAAAUUAUUUUUAUUUAAUAUAAAGUGACUUUUUUAGUGUAGAUAUUUUACCUUUUAAUGUGAAUAUGUAAAAUUAUUUUAAUUAUUUUCUUCUAUUUUAUCUCCUCAAAACCCUCAAUCUUAUACUUUUUAUAAUUUCUAAGUUUUAUAUUCUAACUUCCCAUAUGCUUUUUUUUUAACAUAAGUAACACGAUAUUUUGAUCUGAAAUUUUAAUUAUUUAUGACAUUGUAUAAGAUAAACGUAAUAUAUCGCAACAAAGCAUUUUUUUUUAUAAUCGGGAAGGCUAUAUUCUCGUAUUUCCACAAAAAUGAUUUUGUAGGAAGCGUAUUAAAAAAACAUGGCCAAUAAAAAGAGAGAAAUCACAAUUUCGAAUCUCAAAAAAUUAAGAAAAUUGUGUGUAUCAAACAUCCCCAAAAGUAAAUUGAUUAUUUGUGUUAAAAGCAUAUUUGUAAUAUUUUAUUAUUUCAAUUUUUUUAGGAAAUUCUAAUGAAAUUAAAAACUACAUUAAAAACUACUUUAAUAUUCGAUGACUGACAGCUGGAUUAAUGAAAUGAGAGAAUUGAAAAGAAUUAACUUUUGAUAUUUUUUUUAAAAAAACUUGCUUUAUUAUGUUACAUAUAUACUUAUUUAUAACAUUAAAAUAGCUAUUUGUGUACAAAUUAAAAAAAAAGUUGUAGGAUAAAAUCGUAUUAAAAAAUAUAUCUUAAAUAUAAUUCAAUAUCAUAAAAUUGAUUUAUAAGAAAAUUUACAUUCAUUUAUAUAUUAUAAAAUAUUUUAAUUUCUAGUUAAUGUAAGUUACAAUUCAUACUUAAAAUUAUAUAUUAAUGGGUGGUAUUUAAAAAAUGAAAAAUCUAACAAUUUUCGUUAAAAUAAGUUCAACAACUUUUGUUUGGAUAAGUUUUAGAUACUCUAAUAAUAAAAUCAGCUUAUGAAUUACAUGAGUAAAAGACAUUAAAUGUGGUAUUCUUCCAUAAUGAAUAAAACUUUUGUAGUAAUUAAAUAGCUGUCGAACUUGCUUCAUUGGCACAUACACAUCAGACAGAGUGGUUUUGUGAUGAAUUUGCAAUGUUGAAGGUGUGAUGUGAGAAGACGCAACCAUGACAGCUUAGUCUGUCAUGAAGAUGUUCUUGCACAUGUCUUUGGCUCCUUAACUGAAUGAUUUGCCUCCAUGCCAUGGCAUUUGGCAGCACCACUGCCAAGAGAAGAUGAUACAUUCUUGCAUUAUAAUUGCCCUCAUGUCUCCUUCUUUCUUAUAAUUCUCUUUCAAACACUUCAAAUGUCAAGCAUAACAUAUUGUCUUCAAAUGAAUUUGAUCUGCAUCUGAUCAUCAAAUAAUACAAAACACAUGAAAAGAAGAUGCAGUAAAAAUGCAGUAGAAGGUGAUGUUGAUGAUGAUGAAUGGAAGAAAACAAUGAGUGAGUGAUUAAUUUGACAGGAGACAGGAGUAUUUAAUAGUGUUGUUACAUGUUAGAGUGUGUGUCUUUUCAAACUGUGUUCAAAUGCAUUAUGCUUCUUCUCUUUCAUGAUGAAGAUGAAACAUGAGGUGGAACAGUAUCAGCCACUGCUUCUAAACCUAAAUAUUGGCCAAACAAAAUAUGUGGAUGUAAUAUUUAUAUUUAUAUAUUUUUAAUAAAUCUUAUGACUUUUCUAUCAGUAAAAAAAUAAUAAAUAAAACAAUUUAAAUAUGGUUCCAUCCUUAUAUAAACAAUGAAAAUAAAACACAUCUAACAAAUUCACACUAAAAAAAAACCAAAGUACUAAUAGAAUCUACUUCAAUUUAGACCAACUACCUAAAUCUUAAACCCUAAACCUUAAACCCCAAACUCUAAACACGUUAAUGAUUUUGAUCUUUCUCUUCUUGCAAAUGUUUUAACUAGGAUCUAUUCUCUUUUAUGUCUUCCUUUAAAUUAAACUUUAAUAUUUAAAAUAAAUUGCGAAUAAUUAAAAUAAAUUUAAACAGUCAAUUAAACUAUCAACUUUAUAUACUUAAAAAUGAUUAUUUAUUAUGAAUUCUUACAAGUUCCAAUUUAAUUGGAAUACAAUGAUAGGAUAAUUGUUUUAUUAUAUUAUUAUUCAAUUAUUAUUAUGAGAAAAUCAUCAAACAAAAAUCAAUUUUAGUUAGUGAUAAAAAAAUAAUUAAUUUCUAUAUGAAUUAAAUUAGAUAUUAUAUUAGAGACUACAGACAUUAUUGACAUCUAAUUUAUUCAAUAUAACACUUAAUUAUUUUAUCUCUAAAAUUGAUGUCUAUUUAGUGAUUUUAUAGUAGUGUCAACAAUCUCUUUGAGUAUUCCUUAUUUGUCUUAAACUCUUUCAUCUUUUGCCUCUCAAAUUUUCUUAUCAAAAUUAGAAACUUUUGUGGCUCGAAACUUUUUGUCUUUUUCUUAAUUUCCUAACAAAUAAUCCCAAAUUUAUUUGGAAUAUCAUUUGUGAAAAAACAAACAAACAUGACUUUGCUUUCUUUCUACAUUUUGAUUUGGAUCGUGGUGUUAUUAGACAACAAAUGUAAUCCUCUUCUACAACUUCUCAUAGAUAUAUAGCCUCUUUAGAUAAAUUUGCAUUCUUACAAUCUAUAAAUCAUAUUUUUCAUUAAAGAGUGAAAUAAACUACUUGUAAUUUUUUCUUCUUCUUACAUUCUAUAUGUCCCAUAAGAAUGAUAACUCUAAUGUCAUUGUUGAAAUUUUUAGGAUUUUAAGUGUUUUAUAUAAAAACUUAUGAUUUAUUUUAUUUGUAUACUUAUAUAUACAACAAAAUGUAACAUAAUAUCAAAUUUUCACCAAUGAAAACACCUCAAAUUUAAAAGUAAAUGCUAAUAUUAUAUAAAAUUACCUAGUUUUAUAACUUUUGAAAAACAUACUUAUAAAACAAUUAGUAGUGGUUGUAUAUUUACAUUCACUAUUUAGGACUAAUAUAGAUAUUUCUUUGAAAUAACUACUUAAAUUGUUAAUAUAAUUGUUUAUGAGAAAAUUUAAUUUAUAGGAGAUAAAUUUCAUUAUACACUACUAUUAGGGUUUAGGGUUAUUAAAUAGAAAACAAUUUAAAGAUAAAAUAAUUAAUUGUUAUAUUAACAAAAUUAAAUACUAUUUUAAAUAUUAAAAAAAUUAUUGAUUUCUAAAUUAGUUUAUAUUAUUUAUAAAUAGUUUCUAAAUUGAUAUCUAAUUAGUUACAAAGAUUUUAACUACCAAAUUCUAAAUUUUUCUAAAUUUGAUAGAAAAACAUAAAUGAAAACAUGGUAUUUAUAAAUGAUAUAUAUUUAUUAAUUGUAAAUGUACAUGAUUAAUUAAGCUAAGGUAUAAAUGGAUAAUCUAAGCAGCAAUUAACAAAUCACUGGCUCAGAAUCCAUAUCCUUUGAACCAAAAUUAAUGACAAACAGAAGCCUAACACAGUGUAUGAUGCAGCUCUUAUUGACUCAAUACAAUAAUGGUUGGGAGAGAAAAUAAAUACUCAGCACACUUGCAUUGCACAACUUCAAACUCUCAAACCUUGCUAUUUACAUCUUCCUGUUCUUGCUCUUGUUCUUCCAUGUCACUAUCUUCAACAUUGAUGUUCUUGUACCACUUGGCACACAACAAGUACAGCACAAAGUCAAAGGCUGCAAGCCCUGCAAGCAGAAAGAAGAACCUAUCCAUGUGCCCUGUGUUCAAGUUCUCAGGAAUCCAACCUUUGUUUUGGCCCCUUGCUGUUAUGAUCAUCACCAUGUUCACCAGCAUGCUGCUCACAUAGUUUCCAAGAGAAAUUGAAGCCAUGCAAAGUGAGCUCCCAAAGCUCUUUAUUCCAUCAGGGGCUUGUCCAUUGAAGAACUCCAAUUGACCAACAUACAUGAAAACUUCUGAAGCACCAACCAAAACAUACUGUGGAAUUUGCCAAAAUAUGCUCAAUGAACUAGUCUUUUGGCCAUGAAUUAUCCGUUUGAGCCUUGCAAUCUCUGUGGCACCAGAUGCAACCAUUGCCAACAUGCCAAUAACUAGCCCAAUUCCCAUUCUUUGAAGCUCACUUAGACCCUUUGGAUUCCCACUCAGUUUUCCAGCAAAUGGAACAAGGAUUUGGCGAUAGAUUCCAGUGCACACAAGAACACUGCAGAUGUCAAAUGCAGACAUGCUUGCUGCAGGCAAAUGGAAACUUCCUAUGUAGGAGUUCAUCACAUCUCCUUGCUCAACAAACAGAGAAGCCAUUUGUGUAAACACUACUGAGUAGAUAAUGGUGCAUAGCCAAACUGGUAACAUUCUUAACAAGCAUUUGGCUUCCUCCACCUGUGUCACAGUGCAAAGCCUCCAUGGAUUUUUUGAACUUAGCUCCUCGUUCUCUUUGAUUGUUGCUGCCUUGUCCAUGAAUCUUUCCAACAUCAAGAACAAAUCACAGAUAUAAGUUUCAAUACAAUUCACAGUUAUGGUUAUCAAGUAGGUGUACUAAUUCAAUCAACACAACUAGGUGUUAAAAAACACAGCAUAAUAUUUUCUUCCAUUUCAUAUGGAAAAAUCAAGCAUCAAGAACAACUUUCCCAGAAAGAAUGUACUUUAAGCCUAUUCUUGUUAGGAUAGAUUUUAAAAUAGCUCUGAUUUCCUAUUAUGAAAUUGACUUUAAACUUAAUUCAACUCUCGUAAAAUCGACUUAUGAAGUGAGGUUUGCAUACACUUAUAAAGAAUGAAUUAUCCGAUCUCCAAACAUGUAGAGUUGAGUUCUUGAUUUGGUCCAGAUGUUACUUUUUACAAAAGAAAACAAAAUUUGUAAUCAUAACUUGUUAUUAAAUCUCAAUGCUUACUUAAAAUCAUCUGUGUGCCGAAUCUUUCUGCUGCCUUUUAUAGCAGAUUUUGCACCAUCGACCUCAAAAAGUUCUUCUGCCUUUGCUGGAGCAGCCUUCCAUUUCCUAAAAACAGCAGCAAAUACCUGAGCAAUCCUCACCACUGGGUUUCCACAUGGCUUCACAUAUCUAUAUCUUGGAGUUCCCAGUAAGAAAGCCAAAAAGGCUAUGACAGCAGAGACCAAAGAUACCAAGAAACCCAUUGUCCACUUCCCUGUAUCCUCGUAGUAGACCAGCACAGUGUUGGAAAACAAAGAACCAACAUUGAGGGCAAAGUAAAAGUAGCAGAAGAAAGCUACUUUUGCAUUUUUCUCGUUUGGAUUUUUCUCAUUGUAUUGGUCAGCACCAAAUGUUGCUAAGGUGGGUUGGUGCCCUCCAUAACCAAAUGCCACUAGAUAUAUGGACAAGUAGAAAAUGUCGUCUCCAAUUGAUGAAGGUUUACAAGGAGUAUUGCCAUCACCACAACCAGCUGGGUUGAUCAAGAAACGCCAAGACGACAAUGAAGACAGUGCUAAGCCCUAUUAAAUUCAAAGUGUCAGAAGCUAGAAACUAUGUAAUACAGACAUGAAACUAUGCAACACAAACACUGAUACGAACAUGGAUACGACAUGAACACGAAUACGAAGAUAUACGUAUAAUCUUUAAAAUAUAGGACACGAGAACACAGAUCUAUAUAUUAUAUAAAUUGAUAAUAAAGUUUAUGUACACAAGUAUGUUUCAAAAUGAUUUAUUCCUUAUUUUUAUAAUCAUAAUAAAAAUUUAUACAAUAAAUUUGAGUUUCUAGAAAAUUAAUGUAUAUAUUUUUAAAAUUGUGUUAAAAUCCUGUUAUAAUUAUAAAAAAUCCAAUAAAUAUUUUUUAAAUUGAAAAUUUUGUCUGAUACGUAUUUUACCACUGUCAGUUUCCGAUACGUGUAUCCGACAAGAAUAUAAAAGUUUGAUAACAUUGUUAAAAGUAAAAGACUAAAAGUAAUAUACCAGAACGAAAAUAAGCUGGAAGACCAUGCAGGUUAAGUAUCGACCCCAGUAUGAAUCGCUCAGAAAUGCUCCGAUCAAUGAGAACAUAUAAACAGUUCCGAUCCACUUGCUGACAUUAUUAGCAGCACUCACAUUGUCUUGACCAAGAACUCUGGUUAGGAACAGAACCAAGUUCACGCCAACUCCAAAGAAGGCUAGUGUAGCUAGUGCUUGAUUCACUGACAAAACAAACCAAAAGCCAAAAGAAACAACAUGUAAUCAAACAAACAGAUAGAUAAUUCCACAUAAAUUUAAUAAAUCGAUUUUAUAAAGUUGAGUUAGACUUAAAAUCUACUUCUUAAUAAAUCACGAAUUGAAAAAUGAAUCCAUGGAUCAUUUGUUCAUUACCUAGCAAGAGGCUUGCAACUUUAGCUCCUCCUAUUUUCUUUUCAUCCGCUCUGCUACUUCUCUCCAUAGCAGAUUCUUCUCUGUAGCUGCUAUCUCCUUCUGUUACCUAUUUAAAGCAAAUAUCAUUCAAAAAAAGACAAUUAAUUUUCCAUUUUCCCCCCAUAAAUGAAUCUAUCUACGAUUUUACAGUGGUGUACUUAGCAUCAAUGCAUCACACAUACAAAUAUAAUCAGUUAUUUUUCACCAUGUCUAUAACAAGUUUUGGAAUCAGUAUUGAAGUAUUGACACGUUAGACGCCAUGUACUUUUAGACGUGUUAAAUAUGUGUGAAGAGCUGUUCAUUACAUCUUUCCAAAUGAAUGUGUAGAAAUUAUUGUAUGAAUAUUAUUGUUGCCAUUUGCAGUACCUUGUUUGUGGCAAUAUUGGGGGAGUUGGCAGAGAAAGAAGUGGCCAUUUUUGGUAAAAUCUGCAUGAUGCAAAGUGCAUGAACUCAAAGUGAUAACAAGGUAGCCAAGAAGAAGAGAUGUUAAUUGAUUGAGAAAGGAAAAGACUUACAAAGGGAAGAUAAGAAGAAGUAUAAAAGUAAAGAAAGAGUUGAAAGGGUGAAGAGUGUUGUUGAUGGUGUGGUUGGAUUAUAGCAUGCAAUAUAUAAGGGUGUGAGGGACGUGGGGAAGAAAGGGAUAUGAGUUUGAAAGUAAGGUUUAUUAUUGAUGUAGCUGAGCCAAAAAUACGGAAAUCUGAAAUGAUUGGAGUUGAUAAGAGGAGAGAAAGUGACAAUUUGGAUGAGAAUAGUGGUCAUGAACACUCAAAAGAGAAGGAAAGAAAUCUUAAACUCUAAAAUGAACGACUCUGUGCCACAAACUAGUCACUUCACCCAUAAAAUACUGACACUGUAUGUAGGGACUUGCCCUUUUUUUUACCACCUAUUACACUGAAUCUGACAUCUUCUCGUCCUUUUCAAACUCACAUUUUUCAUUUCUGAUACCUUCACUUCCAUUUCACUUUUCAAUUAUUUAUGUGGUAAAUCUUUUUUUCCCAAUUUUUCAAUUAUAUAUUCUGAACCGGUCAGAUAGAAAGUAUGCAUGUCGAGUGGCUGAGAAGACAAGGAUGAGUGUAAACGUCACUGGAAAUAUUACGUGGAAAAGCACACAAGUGUCAGUGUUAAUAAGGCAUAAAAGAGAAAUAAAAUCAGUUAAGUAUAAAAUCGGUUAAUAAGAGAUAAGUAGAAAGAUUAAAAUGAUAUGACAUGUCCAAUAGGCCCAUUAGCAAGUAGUGUAAAUGGAUUGAAUGUUUAGUUCAGUUUUUUAGUUUUUCUAGAGAAUAACUAACACAAACACUGACUUAAGCUUUUGAGUGUUUCUGCGAGUACUACUCCACAAAUCGAGAGACCAAAAAGUAAUUCCAAGACACGAGUGAACGAAAGAAGAGACUUUUGAGUGUUUCUGCGAGUACUACUCCACAAAUCAAGAGACCAAAAAGUAAUUCCAAAACACGAGGGAGCGAAAGAAGAGGGACUAAAGGAGAAAAUAAGGGACUCGAAAGACGAAGUGAAGAAAGAUCCUGAAGUCACUCUCUCUCCUAUAAUUAGUACAAGUACAUAUUCCAAUUUUCAUUCAUCAUCUCUCAACCAUCCACUUUGUGUGUUUUUCUUAUACUGAAACAUCAAUCCACCUUGCAGUAAAUUGCAUGCAAGCAAGCGAAUCUCUUGUUUUGUGGUUCUGUUAAACGUUGUUGACAGUUGAUGAAUAGGUUAUUCCACCAUCAAUAUGUAACCACAGGCUAAUUAAUUGCUUGAAUUGAACCUUCCUACAACAUGCAGAGUUCCGAAUCAUGUUAUGAAACGAAAUCUCGUAUUAUCCUAUUCAUCAUCUUUGUUAACAUGUUUAGUCAUGUAAGUAACAGUUCAGUGAACUCAUCACCUACAAUGCAAAAUGUAAAGUUGACAUCACUUUGCUUGGUUUGAACACAAACCAUUGUGCAGAAAAAUACAAGGAAAAGAGUAUGACAAAUCAAUACAAUCUCACAUAAUUGGUCUAUAAUUGAGAUUUUCAAAUAUACUGUUCAAAGUUGGAUUGUAUACAGAGAAAUAUCAGUACUGCACUGCACACUCAAAUUAUUAACAGCCAUUUAUGUUGACAUAGCAAAAUACAACUAAAUUUACUCAGUCAAAGGGCUUAGCUUUUAACAAAAUAACACACCAAUUGAAUUGAAGCAUUUGCUGAAAAAACCACAUAACCUUUUAGGAGUCAUUCUUCAAGGUACAAAAAAAACUGCAUUAAAUAUACACUGAUUAGUUUAUAUAUAACCUUACUUAAAAAUAGAUUCCUAUUUGUUACCCUUACUAUUUUAAAAAAUAUGCAUACAACUUCUAUAUAUAUAUAUAUAUAUAUAUAUAUUCAUUUCAAUUACAGAAAAUAACAUACUUUGAAUUUAAAGUUCACACUGAUAGAAAAAAAAAACAAAAAAAUAAUGUCAAUUGAUCAUGAAGGAUUAGGAGAACUUUAAAUUAUAACCAGUUUUUAAAAAGAUUUUAAAAAUGAAAUUAACCUUUUUAUUCAAAUAUUAUCAUUUUUUAUUGUUGUGUUCAUUGACUAGCUAGUGAUUUUGAUUUUUUUUUUAAAUAUUUGUACAAUUCUCUUAAAUCUUAUAAAUUCAAAAAAUAUUUUAAAAUAUUUAAAUUCUUGCUAUAUAAAUUAUCUUUUUAAAUGUUUUACAAUUUGUCUUAAAAUUUGAAGACAUUUGUAGAUCUAAAUAGUAUUUUAAAACUCAAUAGACCUUCCUAAAAGUCAAUCCAAAAACCUAAUAUAUGAGUAAAAAACUCCCUCUCUUUUGUAGAUUGUUCCUUCAUAAUGACUACAAAGCUAAAUAGUUUUGAUGAACACUAUAUGUUGGACUAAUUUGCAAUGCUCCUACAGAAACUUGAAAUUACUAUGCAAUCACAUUACAACUUUUAAUGUUAUUAUUCUACUACAAUACUACGACAGAAAACCUGAAAUGACCUAAUUUUUUAUACAAUUACAUUAAAAAAAAAUCUGAAAUCACCUAAUUUUUUAUACAAUCACAUUACAACUUUUAAUGUUAUUAUUUUAAUUUGUUUAUAUUAUUUAAUUACAAAUUAAUUUUUUAUUAUAUAUAUUUAUAUCUAAAUUCAUGGUAUAAAAAAUUUGUAUACAAAUUUUAGGGUUUUGAAAGUAUCAUUUCCCUAAUUCAAACCAUAUUAUGCAAGAGUAGAUGAGGUGAAAAGAUUACUGGUUUUACUAAAUUAAGGUUUGAGCCACUUCAGAUUUGCUUCACACACAACUUCAUUUUUGUUUUAUCUACUUGUUCCUUUUUCCAACUGCGCUGUUACUGCUACCAAAUUUAGUUUCUACCACAAUUUUAGCCAUCACAAAACUGAGAAACAAAGUGCCUCUCUUCCUCUCACCAUUUUUUCCCUGUUAAUUAACCACUGCCACCUUUAUCUGUUGUAUUCUCAUCCCUUUCAAAUUCAAAGUUAAAAAAGAAAUAACAAUAAAAGAUACAUAUUUUGCUAUCUCCUGACAAAAGGGACACGAUUCAAGGAUGAUAUCAACCCUAUGAUUUUUAGUUUUCAGUUGAAGGUUUCUGAAGUGUUUCUUAUUUAUUUUUUCUUGCUGAUAAAGAAAAAUGAACAGAAACAAGGAAAGUUAUUCAGAUUGUUGUGGGGAAAUCAAUUCUGCAGCAUUUGACGCCAUGCAAGAGGAAAACAGAGCAGCAGGGUCGUUGUUUCAGAAGUUCAAAGGCGUGGUGCCGCAACAAAACGGGAACUGGGGUGCCCAGAUAUAUGCAAACCACCACAGAAUCUGGUUGGGGACAUUCAAAUCCGAAAGAGAAGCUGCAAUGGCGUAUGACAGCGCCAGCAUAAAGCUCAGAAGCGGAGAGAGCCACAGAAACUUCCCAUGGGACGAUCAAACGGUGCAAGAGCCAGAGUUUCAGAGCCAUUACAGCACAGAAGCAAUGCUGAGCAUGAUCAGAGAUGGCACCUACGCAUCACACUUUGCCACGUUUCUCACCACUCGUAAAACCCAACAAGGCGUUGUUGCAAAGCACGUAACUUUGAAGGGUGAUGAGGAGGAGAAGCUCUGCUGCACCCUGCUUUUUCAGAAGGAGCUGACACCAAGUGACGUGGGGAAGCUCAACAGGCUUGUGAUCCCGAAAAAGCAUGCAGUGAGCUAUUUUCCUCCGGUGUGUGAGAUUGCAGAAGGGCAUGAAGAACAUGGCAGUGUUGACGUUGAGGUUGCGUUCUAUGACAGGUUGAUGAGACUGUGGAAAUUUCGAUACUGCUAUUGGAAGAGCAGCCAGAGUUACGUGUUCACAAGAGGGUGGAAUCGGUUUGUGAAGGACAAAAAACUGAAGGCUAAAGAUACCAUUGCGUUUUUCAUGUGUGAGCCUGUGGAUUGGAGAAAAGGUGGAGAAGGAGAAGCUUUUGGAUUGAUUGAUGUAAUUUAUAACUCAGAUGAUGAGAGAGGUUUGAAGUGUUUUGGAGAGUUGGUUUGCAGUGAGGAAGAAGAAGACACCAAAGAGGAAACCAUUGAAAAGGAUUUGAAUGCACAAAAGGGUUUGAGACUCUUUGGUGUUUUCAUCAAAUAGUUUUAAUUUAACUCUCCAAAUCUCAUUUUAUAAACCGAUUUUACAAGUUUGAAUUAAGUUUAAUCACUUCUUAAUAUGAUAUCAAAGAUCUUUCGAACCUAUCCUAACAAUUAUUUGUUGAAGUCACCUGCUAGCAGACCUUUAUCGGACAAUCCAUAAUAAUAUAGUCUCAUACAUUAACGUGAGAAGUGUUUAUAACUUGAUGCAAAUCUCACCUUAUAAAACAGUUUUUUGAUAUUAAAUUAGACUUAAAAUUACACUUCUUAAUACUAAACAACUAUAUCACAUUUUAGAGUAUUAUGAAAUAACACCAACUUUUCUUUAUAUUUUUUUAACAUCUAUAUAACCUCCUUUAUACUAAUUUACUUUGUAAUAUUUUAAAAAAAUUAAAUGAGUUUAUAUAAUAUAUGUUGUAGAUCCACAUCGACUAGAUAUUAGAGUCUUUCAUUGUAUAUAAUUGUGUACAAACUUCAACCUCAUGAGUCAGUAAGUUGAGUUAGACUUAAAGUUCACUUUCUGAUAUUGUAUAAGAGUUAUUUCGAGUCUAUUCUAACGAAUAUUUAAAAAAAUAGCAUAAGGAAAUAUAUAUAAUCUUGCGAAACUUUGAAUAUAAUUAACAAAAUUAAAUUUGGGUGAAAAAGAUUAUAAUCAAUUGAAUUGUAGUUUAAUAGGUAAUUUCUCAAACAGAAUCAUAUUAAGAGAUUUUGAAAAUGUAUUUUUACUAUUCAUGCAUUAAGAGGGACAACAUGUUCUUUACAUGCUCAAUUUCUGGGUAGGUGAAGAGAAGUUUGUUCUGUUGAGAUGAAAUAGAAGUAAAGAGAAUCAAUUUUGUUUUUGGCUUACUUUUCCUAUUUUUUGGUAUUGCAGGCACGCACACGUCUUUUGUGCGUCUUAGAUAUACGUUUUAGUUAAAAAAUUAUUAAUUUAAUACAAUUUAAUAGAAAAAAAAUAUAUUAAUUUUUUAAAAAUUUAAAUUUAUUAUAUAAAUUGUUAUUAUAAUUAUAGAAUAAAAAAUAAUUUUUUUAUAUUUUUCUAUUAAAAAAAUUAAAAUAUAUUUAUACAUUUAUUAUCAAUUUAUAUAAUUUAUAAUUAUAUAAUAUAUAGAUUUAUAUGAAAUUAUACUUAACUUUUAUGUUUAUCUCCGUUGUGUUUAUAUUAUCGUGUUUAUAUCUAUAUCGUAUCAAUAUCUAUACCAUUAUUUAUACUAUGUUUUUAUACUUUAUAAAUAAUAAUUAAAAAAAUAAGCAAAUUAAGAAGAAAAAGAGAAAGCAAUUUUGACUGAAGCGGGAAAGUAAACCGUCAUUGAAAUUUCCCCACUCUCAUUAAAAUUCAAAUCCUAAAAGGGCAAGGUAAAGGGUUCAAGAAACACUUUUGAAAUUGCUUUCAAAUUUUAGCAAAACCCCUUUCAAUCCCAAAUUAGGGUUUUGGGUUUUGACAGAAUGAAGCGUUCGCGCAGAGGCAAUGCUGAUGCCGAUGCCGAUGGCGUUGCCGAGGGAGGUGCCAAGGAGAAAGCGGCGAGCGAGCAGAACCCCGCCACUCGCAGAGUCAUACGCUCCCAGUUCCUCAAACUCAAGACUCUCAUCAACGGUACACAACAUUACCACUCACUCUUCAAUUUAUUUACAACGCUAAAUUCAAUUUUUAUCCCUAAUUACCUAACCCUAAACACACCUACCAGAGAAACGAGAUGAUUUGAUGAACACGGAAUCCGACAACUUCGACACAAUUUUGGACGAGUUCGACAAGUUACACGACCAAGGUAGGUAGCUGUACUUGUUCCUUUGCUAUUGUUCUCGUUUUUGUUCACGUUGUUAUAAUCUUAACUUUGUAGUGAUUGGUCUGGUUGGAUGGAAUUUUGCAGUUGAGAAGCCCAGAGAGCAGGUUGCAGAUGCAGAGGCGCUGUUGGAUCUGACGCGCACUCUGUUUGGAUCUGUUAGGUCUUUGGCGAACGAGGGUGUCACCCCUUCUCAGUUCGUUUCCUCUUUGCUCAUACGCCAUGGCCAAGGCCAAGACUCAAUCGAUUGGCAGAAACUUGGCCUUGCGGUUUCCCCAAUCUUCCUCUCCGUUCAUGGCUCUUCUACCAUGUCAGUUCCUCUCCUCUAUUCCUUUCACAAUUCUAUAAUACUUUGUUCUUAUCUUGUUUUUUUUUAUAGGCUUGGGCCCAUGGACAAUGAGUUCAAAAAACGAAGAACCGGAGUGCGCAAACACCGUGAUCCUCGCCCAACCGUAACUACUAGGCCUGAACAGGUCACUCCCCUUUUCAUAUUCCUAGGCCAUUCCUACAAAACUUUGUUUCACAAUGUCGUUACUACUUGUUUUAAGUUCACGGUGCAUGAAAAUAAAAUUUUGCGCAUGCAUAUUUACCUUGGUGACACUUUGUGGCUGUUGUGAAACAGAUUGAUUUAUCUAUGUAUUUUAUGUUUGUGAGUGCACUGGUGUUUAUUCAUUGUUGUUUGUUUCGAGCAGCUUGAUGAGGCUGGUGCAGUGGAAAAAACUGAUACUGACAUAAACAUGGCAACUAUGUUUAACAUCUUGAGGAAGAAAAAACGUGUCCGACUUGAAAAUUUAAUUAUCAACAGAAAGUCUUUUGCUCAGACCGUGGAAAAUUUGUUUUCUCUUUCAUUCCUAGUGAAAGAUGGUCGGGCUGAGAUCAGUCUGGAUGAAAAUCGUUUGCACUAUGUUUGUAAGAUGUGUUUCCACCUCAAUCGACUGAAUACUUGUUUCGUUUUUCUUUUUUGUACCAUGGGUACUUAUGCUGUCUUCUUUUUCAGGUCCUAAAAAUGCUCCAGCCGCUAACUUAGUAUCAUCAAAAGAAGUUUCUUACACUCAUUUUGUAUUCAGAUAUGAUUACCAAGAUUGGAAGGUAUGGAUGGUACCCGAAUGUAAGGUUGGAAUUCAAGGAGCAAUUGGAAAUUUAAUUCUAUGAUUGACUUUUUAUGGGGUUGCAAUCAUUCAGGGUUACAACAUCAUUGUUUAAAAAGGGAAAAAACUGAUAAUAAUGUCAUGAGUGGUUUUCAAUCCUGACAGUUUCAAUGUAUGUUGUAUAGCACUGGUAGUUAAUUAAAAAUAUAUGUACGUUGUUGAUUUUAUGAAGUGUUGAAUUAUAUGCUGUAGGCAAAUAAUACUAUAAUUCACAUGCCUUUUUCAUUUAAAGGCCUGGACAUUAAAUUACAAGCCUCUGUAUAACCCUGCCAACGUUGUUUACAGCUUAUGAAAGAUGCUGUGCCCGAAGGGGAAGACUUGAUGCCGCAUCGGGAUCAGUGUUGUGCUGGUGCUGACCCUCAGGAAAGGAAGGGUGGGGAUGAUUCCCAACUUGCUUUGGCUUUAACACCUAUCAGGAAGCUAUCACGGAAUCGAGGACUGGUUGUGCAGGAGGAAAGUGUUGUAGAAGAAUCUCCUGAAUGUGACGAAGAAAAUGCUCCCAGAGCAGGGGCUAUUCGUAGGUGUAAGCGUAAACUUCAUUAGGAAAUGGCAUAUUAGGUCUGAACAACUUCAAAUUUACAUGAAUAUGUUUUGUUCAGCAUGCCAAGCUGACCUUUUUUGUUAUAUAGAGAGAAUGUAAAUACUUGUAGGUCCAUGAUGCCAUGCAUUUUGAAAGCUGGAUGUAUUGUAAGCUUCCUUUUCUGUCUAUAUUUCAUCUGCAACUCUUCAGAAAUUUUUUCUUUGCAUACAAGUAUAUUAUGUUGGUGAAAAGGGUAACAUAAUAGAUCCAGCUGUUUGUGAUUGGGUUUCAAAUGAUCUUGCUCCAGUCAAUUUGGAAAACUACUAAAACAUAUUAAUCAGGAAACGUUCAUUCACGUUGGUAGAGUGAGGUGAAGGCAGAAUUUAAUCUCCAGUCUUUAUAUUUAUUCAAAACGGAUUUUACCAUUAUUCACAACGGAUGUCAUAACAUUAUUAUUCAUUUGAAAGAGUAGCUCCUCUAUAAGGCACAGGUAUCGCUUUCAAAGGAAUGGCUUUCCUUAGCGUUAUUCCCAUCCCCUCAGUCAUGUCCAUCUCCUCUGGUUUGAGGCCAUCUGGCAAAACCCAAUCAAAGGAGUGCAAGAGGGAGCCUAAUGCCAAGGUAAGCACACGAGAGGCCAGUGGCAUGGCUGGGCACAUUCUUCGACCCGAACCAAAGGGUAUAAACUCAAAAUGACGUCCUUUGUAAUCCACCACAGUUUUUGGCUCCAGAAAUCUUUCAGGCCAGAACAACAAGGGAGCAUCCCACACUUUGCAGUCCCUCCCUAUUGACCAAACAUUCACUAAAAUCUGUGACUCUUUGGGAAUAUUGUAGCCAAGGAAGUUAAAAGAGUCCAUAGCCAUAUGAGGAACCAUAAGAGGAAGAGGUGGGUGAAGUCUCAGUGUCUCCUUGAUCACUGCUUGGAGGUAGGGAAGAUUCUCUAUGUCCUUUUCUUCCAUCUUCCUAUCGGACCCUAUUUUGUUCCUUAACUCCAUCUGCACUUUCUUCAGUGUUCUUGGGUUGUUCAGAAGCUCUGCCAUCGCCCAUUCGAUUGUGCUUGUUGUCGUGUCUGUCCCUGCAGUGAACAUUUCCUGCAACCGAGUACUUUCUCAGUAAUACUGCUUCAAUAUAUGACUAACUACUUAAAGAUGGAACCAAAGAGUAGUUAUAUGAAGCAAAACCUAGUUGAGGGACUUACAAAAAUAGUGACAUUAAUAGUUCUUGGAGAAAAGGUAUAGUGCUGAGAGGAAGAAUCCCCACGAAAGGACAACAACACAUCCAGGUAAUCUUUGAUUUCCUUUGAUCCAGAGUGACCAUUUUCCAUCCUUUCGUUGAUGAAGGUCCCUGCAAUGUCAAAGGCCUGGUUGACAUGGAACUGUGUCUUCCUCCUUAUACCCUGAGGGUCAAACCACUUUAGAAUUGGCAAAAAAUCUGCCAUGUUGGGCUUCCCAGCAUACUCCAUAACCUUGAGUGCAUGGUAAUAAAAUCUAUCCCCUCUCUCCGUUUCAGACUCCAACAAAUCCUUUGAGAAUAUGAGGUUCCCAAUAAGGUUAAAAUCCAUCAAGAACAAGAACCUCCCAACAUCAACAGCACGUGUACCAGAUUCACCAGCUUCUUCUAUCAGCUGCAACAUGCGGUGUAUACACUUUGCACGCACACCUCGCAUGGCGUCUAAGCGACUUGUGACAAAGAACUCAGUGGUGCAGAGUCGCCGGAGCAUGCGCCAGUGUGAGUUGUACUGAGAAGUUACGAUGGAUCCCUCACUGCCAUUCUCCCCUCUCAUGGCCUCAUAAAUCUUCCUCCCUGCAAGAACCACAUCAUGGUUCUUGAACAUCUCACCAGCCACUUCGCUCGAUGAGAUAACCACUGUGCACAUCGACCCUAGCCAAAGGGUCAUGAUUGGACCAUGUUUCUGAGCCAGUUUUGCAAAGGACUCGUGUGGUGACCAGCCCAGUUGAAACAUGUUCCCAACCACUGGCCAACAUCUUGGUCCUGGUGGAAGCUUACCAUGCUCUCUUCCUUCCAUCACCUUCUUCCUCACCAUCAUCACUAACACCCACAUGGCUAACACCACCAAACUCACAACCUCGUAUUCCAUCCCACUUUUAUGUUCUUUGCUUUUCAUCUGUGUUCCAUUGUUACUCUUCACAUGCUUUCUAUAUAUUGCUUCAUGCCACUAACAUACACACCAUUCCAUGGCAAAAAAAAAAAACAAUUUUUGCUUUGUCAUUGUUUGGUGAGAAUAUCUCUUCCAGGGAUUUAGUAUCCACGUACCCAUCAAGUUCCUCCCAGGUAAUAUCAUUUUCAUAUGUUGUUUCUUAGUUAAAGUUUAUCAACAAAAUUCUAAACUAUGAAUACAAAUUAUUAUUAUUAUUGUAAGUUGUAACUACCUCAAACUUCCGAUUUUCACCCGACUGAGAACAAUUUUUAAACUAUAAAUAAAGAUUAUAAAGUUUUAUAAUUACUAAUAAUUCAAGUGAUUAUAGCAUUUGUCGAAAUGCAGGUUGUCCUGAUUGAUGAGAGGACGUGGAUGAAAAGUUGUGGAAUUGGUUUUAUCGUACAAACAAGUAUAAAUUAAUCCCUGUUUGUGUUACUGUUCAUUUGAUGUUGUUUUUUUAUUUAGAAAGAAGUGCGUAAGUAGUGAUGAGGGUCGUAUAAAAACGAUGAAUCAAACAAUCGAUGAGCUUGUUAAUUGGCGGCGAGUACGGGAAUCGCGGUUAAGGACCAUAUUAUUUUUUAAUAUUUAUAUCAAUUCUAUCACUCAAAUAUUUUUUUUCCUCCUUUCAUAUCACACCCAUCCAUUUAUAUCAUUUUCUUAUUCAAAAACUUAUCUUUAAACAUCUCUAACAAAAUUUAAAAUAUUGUAAUAUAAUUCACUUAACAUUGUCAACUAGUAUACUCAUGUUAUUUUAUAAAUUUUUUGUGUGUAGAUUGUAAUCUAUGAAACUCAGACACUCUUUUUAAAUGAUGUGUCGGUGUUGGAUACUCGUAUCGGACACCAACACUUGUAUGACAUGUAUCAGUGAAGUGUAUUUGUUGGAUUUCUAACAAUUUUGGUACGGUUCUAACACAAUUUUAAAAAGAAAAAAUACAUUAAUUUUCUAAAAACUUAAAUUUAUUGUAUAAUUUUUUAUUAUAAUUAUAAAAUAAGAAAUAAAUAAUUUUGAACCAAUCAUGAAAAACAUUUUUAUGCUCCAAAAAAUAAUAUAAAACAUACUUGUGUACAUAAAUUUUUAUUAUCAAUUUAUAUAAUUCAUAAUUAUAUAAUAUAUAUUUAGAAAUUAUAGUAUUUUCGUAUUCGUAUUCUUGUCGUAUUAGUGUUAAUGUCAAUGUAUGUGCUACAUAUUGGAACCCUAAAAUAAACAAAAUAUCUGUUAUAUCUAAAAUAUAUUUUUAAGCUAAAUAUAUUGUAAAAACUAUAUUUUGAAAUUUUCAGAAUAUAAUUUCUAAUAUAUGAAAUACAUACGAACUUUGAUUGCUCCUCAAUUAACCUAAACAAAACUCACAUAAUUGAAACAGAAUUUUUAAAAUAUAAGAAAUGCACUCUAGAGCAAAAGUUGGAUUCCCCUUAAUUCACGUAAAAAAAAAAACUCACAUAAUUAUAAAUGUAAUGUUAAAUUAAAAUUUUAAAUUUUGUUUGCCAAGUGAUGCUAAAAUUAAAAAAAAAAUAAAACUCUAUUUCUUUAAUUUAUUAUGUAUUAUGUAAAAACUUGGACAAAGUAAUGUUAAACUCCAAAAAUCUUGAAAUUUAGCAUGAUAGAGGAGGAAGUAGUGCGACUUUUUUAAUACUUCAAUUCAUUAUGCAUGUGAAGUAUUUCAUUUUUAAUUGUAGAGUUUUAUUUUUUAUGUUUUAUGUUGUUUUUAAUGUAUAAAAAAUUAAAAUGUUUUAUCCUUUUGUUUUAAAGAUAACUAUUUUAAAAUUUAGGUGGAUAAAGUUAUUUGAAAUGUUUAAGAUGAGAUGAAAUGGGUUGAAUUAGUUAUUAUAAAGUGGGUCAAGCUAAUGUAUCAAUCCCUAUUAUAUAACUUAAUUAUUUUAAAAAUAAAUCAUUAUCAAUAAAUUAAUUAACAACUAUUUAAAAUUAAAAUCUAACAAUUCGGUUAUUUUUUUUAUUAUAUAUUCAAUAUAAUCACAAAUGCAUAAUACAAAUUUUAAGUAUAAUUUAAUCUUAGGUUAAAGAGAUACAAAAAUAAAAUAAAAAAUACAUGAUAUAAUUUAUUAAAAGAUAAAACUAUAUAAGUCAGUAUAAGGUGGAGGUCUCGAUAUUUUGAUAUUUAUAAUUGUUUAUUUAUUUACUAAUUUGAAUAUUAAAAAUAUGAAUUUCUAUUUCUUUCUUCUCUUAUUUUUUAUCAAUGCAAACAACAAACUAUUUAUUGAUCUAUGACGAUUAAACUAAUUUGUUACUUCAAAAUUAAUUAAUUUUGAUAAUUUUUAAUUUUAUAACGUUAAAAGUGAUUUGCACGUGGAUCUAGUAUCUGUCACAAACUAGGUUGGACUAAAAAAGAAAUAAUUAAUACAAAUCAUUCCAACAUUUGACAGACUAUCCUGAAUUAUUGGCUCUAAUCAAAGUAAAAUAUUUUUUGUACAUCAUCGAUAAAUAAAUAAAAGUUUAAAUAUUAUGUUUAUUUUAAGAAUUAUUUAGACAAUAUUCUUUCAUAAUUUUUAUAUAUAAAAUAGUGAUACAAUAUUCAAAAAAAAAUUCUGACUAUUCAGUUGACGGUCCAUGUCAAGUUGCUUUAUUUAUUUAAAAUAGUAUAAUUUGGUGGUAGUUUUUAUAUGGAUUGAACAUAUAAUAAAUAUUCUUUUUGAUAUUAGCAAAUAUUUUAAAUUACAAAUAAGGUUGAAACAAAAAAGAACUCAUAAAUAUUCUUUUGUGCUUGCUAGCAUAAAUUUGGCUCUUUCUUUCAUGUGAUACUCUAUACUUUUUCAUAGCUUUCAUGUGAUACUCUAUACUUUUUAAUAUAUCAAAGUAUACUUUAUUUUAUUAAUGUUUUUCAUUUCAAAGUCAAUGACUCAAACAGAAUUAUGGAUUAUAAAACUGGAAUGAAAAUAACUUUCAAAUUUUAAAAUUCAUGAGUUUAUUUAGAAAAAUAUAUUUUAGAUUAUAUUUCCGAUUACAAAAUUCAAAAGUAUUUAUAAAUUUAAGAACAUCUUUCAAAUUUUGUAAUAUAAAAUAUACUUUUUAAAAGGAAAAAAGAAUUAAUCUAAAAUUUGUAUAUCUUUCAAAUUAUACAAUCCGACCCAUGUUUUCUAAAAUUUGAGAAUUUUUUUUUAUAAUUGUAAUAUAUUCGUAGACCGGUGUACUCGUUUUAAAUUUAAAAAACUUAAAUAGAAAAAUAUACAUUUUCAGGGACAAAAUGGUCUUUUGCUUGAGCAUUGGGUGCGAGAAAAAGUUAUGAAGGUGCAGGCAGAAAGGCCCAUAAAUUUUGAAUGUGCAAAAAUUGGUUUCUCCAGCCCACUGUGACCCAAGCUAUCAUCCAACUCCCAACCACCAAUCCAACUACCAAUUUGUUUUUCCUUCCUACCACUUCCUCAUAAUUAUUUUUAAGAAAAAAAAAUGAGAAAUAUAUAUAUAUUUUUAAAUUAAUUAUUCAAUAAAUAAUAUUAACUUAUAUAUAAAUUAAAUUUCAAAGAUAUUUCCUCUCCAUAUACUUUUAAAAAAGACUAAAAAAUUAACUUUUGAAUAAAUUAAAAAUGAAUCUGUAACACAUUUUCCAAAUUUAAAAUUUUAUUUUUGAAAACAUUCACAACCCACCACAACCAAAUUAUAACCCCAAAUAUUAUUAUUCUUUUGAUAUUAUUUAAUUACAAAUAUACUCUUUAUUAUAUAUGCUUACAUCUAAAUUUAUCACAUAAAAAAUUAUAUAAAAAAGACAUCUUUUCUCUUUAUUUUUGUUGGUGAAAGUGGUUUGGAAGCAGUGAUGAGAGCAUAGUAAUUAAUAACAUUGAUGCAUAUUUGUGUUUGAUAGGAAACGGUUUUGGUGUUCAUUGUGGUGGCUGUGAUGUCAGACAACUACUUGCAGGAGUCGUUCACGGUGGAAAGCAGCGACGGAGUGAAGCUGCGUACGAGGGUGUUCAAGCCACGAACAGAAGAAAAUGGCGAUUUGGGGAUCGUUUUGGUGCACCCAUAUUCCGUUUUGGGUGGUUGCCAGGGUCUCCUGAGAGGAAUCGCUUCUGGGUUGGCUCUCCAUGGUUACACCUCUGCCACCUUUGACAUGAGGGGUGUUGGCAAAUCCACUGGCAGACCUUCUCUCACUGGCUUCGCUGAAGUUAAGGAUGUCGUUGCUGUCUCCAACUGGCUCUCCAACACUUUCUCUCUUCCUAGGAUUUUGUUGGUUGGUUCUUCCGCAGGUACUGUUUCCCAUCUCUCAGAUCAGAUCUCUCAAAUUCGUUUCAAUUUUCUCAUGCCAAUCUAUUUCACACGAUCCACUCUCUGGAGGAACACAUCUUGCACCUACCACUAAUUUUAGUGUGGGAGAAAGUUGUUUCUUCUACCACAGAUUCUCUUCUUUUUUAAUAAUCUUUCAACUUUUCUCUGCUUCAAGGGAAAAGACUCAUAAGGGUGUUUGUUGCUUUAAGCAAUUAACUGGAAGUACUUUCCUUUGUAUCUCAAGCUCUCACUUAGUGAAAUGUACUUUUUGAAAUGUUAUAAUAUCUAGUCAAUAGAUGAAAUCUCCAACACCCCAGACUAUAAGUUCAACAAAUAAUUACUAUGAUACAUUCAAAAUGGUUCAGAUAUCAUAUUGAAAAUGUCCUAAUCUCUAGUCUGAUAUUAGCAGCAUAAUUUUUUCUUCUAUAUCUUAAUGUAUCAAUUGCGUGAUUCGUACCUCUUUUACGAGUAAGGCUUGCCGGUGUGGUAUUUUCUUGUACUAGGAGUUGGGUUAGCUCGUAGCUGUAUGGAUUGGAUUUUGGUUAUUGAAAGUGUUUGCUGUUUGUGAUUAGGGUUCACAUGAUCUCAAAAGUUCAGUGGUAGCUUUAUCUACUGAGGUUCUAACCCUGUUGUAGAGCAGUAUGUUUUUUACUCCUGGUUCAGAUACAGACUCAUUUGCAGAAGCUGCUUUCCAUUUUUGUGUUGAAAUGAUACUUAACUGAAUAGGAUGCGUGCUUGAGGUUACAUGAGUUGCUAAGUUAGACUUGUGGUGGUAAUCGACAUGCUUCUUGUCUGUGAGAGUUUCCCCUAUUCAUUCACAAACUGAAUGCAUUAGGGGAUGAAGUAAUUGGCACCAUCUGGCAUGGUUGCAUCAAUGAAGUCUGAACGAAUUGCCAUAUAUUUAAGUUGUUUCUUUUGUUGCAGGUGCACCUAUAGCAGGGUCUGCUGUUGAUCAGAUUGAAAAAGUCAUUGGCUAUGUAAGCAUAGGUUACCCAUUUGGAAUGACUGCCUCAAUCCUUUUUGGACGACACCACAAAGCCAUCCUACAGUCAGCGAAGCCAAAACUCUUCAUUAUGGGAACGCAAGACGGAUU